rnacentral:lncRNA from 1 species
UUGUAUGUUCCUCUAGUAAGCGUCAAGAUGAGUUUCAAAAUUUCAUUUUUGAAGAGAUUUCACAUUUGCUAGAGAUUGAUGAGCUUGAUAGUGGUAAAAGACAAAAAUCAGAUUGGUACUUUGAAACGAGGCAGAGACACACGUUGGAGCUCACAUGUUUCUUCUGUUUGUAGUAUGAUAGAUUUGCACAAUCCAACUUGUGUGGUUCUUGUAGAUAUUAAAAAAAAAUGGAAGAAGUUAUGCUACACGUGGGGAUGCUAAUGUUGCUUAUAGGUUUAUGAAAUCAUUUGAGUUCACAUUAAUUUUGCAAAUGAUGAGAGAACUUAUGAGAAUUACAUAUUGUUUAUGUCAAGCUUUACAACAAAAAUCUCAAAAUAUACUUAAUGCUAUGCAGUUAGUCACGACUACAAAGACAUUAGUUCAAAAGUUGAGAGAAGAUGGAUGAGAUGGUUUAUGAAAGAUGUAAUAUUAUUUUGUGAAAAAAUGAUAAUGAUUCUCCUUAUUGUAAUGCAGAUUAUAUAGAGCGUGAAUGUCGUGGGCGUCAUCAAAUGGAUCACAUCAUUGUGGAUGAACAUUUAAGAGUGGAUCUCUUUUGUGUUACAAUCGGUCAACAAGUGUAAGAAUUGAAUCAUAGGUUUUUUGAGCAAACAAUGGAGCUUUUAAGUCUAAGCAAUAGUUUGAUUCAUAAGGAUAUUUACAAAGUAUCUGAUAUAAAUAAUAUAUGUGCUCUUGUAGAUAAAUUAUAUCCUACAGAUUUUAGUGAGCAUGAGAAAAUUAGUAUGAGAUAUCAACUUCAAUACUUUCAUCUUCAUGUUGUUGGUCAUCUAGAUUUAAAUAACUUGUCAACUAUGUAUGAAUUGUGUGAAGCUCUAAAAAAGACAGGGAAGACAAAUACAUAUUAUUUGAUCGACCGACUUAUCCGUCUUAUCUUAAUCCGUAUUAUAUUUUUAUUUUGUUGAAGUUAUUUUGAAUAUUUGAAAAAAUUAUAUCUAAAUUUUAUAAUUUUUAGUCAAUUUCAAUUGUAAUAUUUUAAUUAAUAUUUAAUGCCCCAUAAUAUUAAAAUCGUAUCCAAAAUUUAAAGGCAUUGAAGUAUUUUUUUUAAUGUAAAUCUCAAUAAUCAUGCAACAAACUCCCAGAUAUGCCACUACGAUAAGCCAUAUUAAAAUUGAAACAUCCCUCUUGAGGAGUGUUGUGAAACUCUUGCAACAUAGUAGAAAUUAAUAUGGAUUUACUAGAUAAAUCUAACCUUGGAAUGAGAAGCCAUGCAAAUCUUGCAUAAUAGCCACCAACUUUUCAACCAUGCAAUCCCCAACACUACAUUUAACUCCCCCAAAUCAAAAAUGUUGAAUCUUUUGCAAACCAUCCUUCAUAGUGAUUUUCAUCACCGACGCAACUUUUACACUUGUGAAUAAAUUUUUUGAAAGUGAAAUUGUGAGUAUCACAAGAAUGAUCACCACAACUCCUUGUAUCGUAGUACCAUUAAAUAUUAUUGUGUCCAUAAGAUUUUAUAGCGGAUUUUUCUAAUACUUAAAAAAAUAAUAGUUUCAUACUAGAUUUUUGAAAUAUAAAAUAUAGGUGGUCAUAUCCCAUUUUUCCUCCUUGAUCAUUUCAUCCAUUUAUCAUAUGCAUAGCUCUUUUUUGGUUAACCUAUUUCUUUCUUAUCAUAUCAUUAACAUUUAUUUUUUAGAAUUUUUUAGAAGUCAUGUGACACUUUAAAGAAAAGUCAACAAAAAUCUACUAUACUAUUAUUCGUUCUUUAUCAUAUGUUGAACCAAUUUGCAUUUGCUUUCAUAUUUGAGUCUCAUUCAUAAACAAACACCACAGUUAAAUUUAAUUUGUUUUUCCAUCAUACUAUAAACCAAUUUUUAUUCAAAUCAUAAACUAUGCAUACCUUUACUUUUAAUAAAGUCUAUACAAAAUCAAGUUUAUUUCAUUUUCAUAUCAUCAUACAAUAUCAUCAUCUUAAUAUCAUGUUAUAAUUCAUGUUUUCAUUUUCAUUAUCAUUGUCUCAUCAUCAAGUCAUCAUGCCAUGCUCCAUUACCAUGUUCAUUGGACCUACAAAACCAUGUUUCAUCAUAAGAAUAUAAUGGGCCCGUUUGUUUUGCCUUUUUUUAAAAAUAAUUUUUAUAGUGUUAAAUAUUUUAGUGUAAAAAAAAUUUACAAAGAAAUUUUUCAUAAAAACUUCAAUUUUUUGAAAUGUUAUUUUAGAUAUUUCAUCAUUUUAUCGAUUUUUUUUGGAUAUUUCAUCAUUUUAUCGAAACUUUUUUGGAUAUUUCAUCAUUUUAGCUAUUCUUAAAAUGUUAUUUUAGAUAUUUCAUCAUUUUAUCGAAACUUUUUUGGAUAUCAAAAUUUUAAAAAAUCACUUAAUUUUGAAGCUAUUUCAAAUAGUUUUUCACGAAAAUCAUUUUUAAGAUACAAUUUUUUGAAAAAAUUGUGAUUUUGACUAUAUUUUGAUCUUAAAUAAUAUAUAUUUAUGUUAUAGAAUGAACAAUUCAAUCUUUUAAUUUAUAAAAAAUAAAUUUAGAAAAACUUGUAAUAUUUUGAAAAAGAUUUUUGUAGAAUCCAUUUUCAAAAAUACAAAGAAAAAAUCCAUUUUGGUGACAAAUUCAUAAGCAUGAACAUAAGCAUGCUAACAUGAUAAUCAAGCAUUGUGGUGACAAAAUUUUGCAUCAAAUCAUCACUAAUUAAUGUGAUGACAUGCAUACAUGCAUCAAAGUUCAACUUGGAACCACAUGGUUUUCAUAAACCAAAACCACUUCCAAAACUACUUCAAACAAACACAAAACCAUAAUCGACUUGCAAUCCCAUUUCAACAGAAAAUUAACUUCGACAAACACACUUAGAUGCAAUCCUGAUCCUUGAUUAAACACUUUUUCACAUGGAUCAUUAAUUGGUGCAAUACUAAUCAUUCUUCAUUUUCAUUUAUCACAUUUUAACCCCCUCCAAAACUCACUCACAUUUGAAUUCAUUCACAUUCAUCUUAGUCCAUAAAAACAAUACCAUAUCACCAACCAAAGGGAAAAAAUAAAGAUUAAAGGUGUAGUUCGAUUUUGAACUUGAUUUUUGAAGUUUCUCGGAUCUUGAAAUUAAGUUUGGAUUUUAGAAGAGGAAGUUGCAAGGAGUUCGAAUCUACAAAAACUUAUGAACAUAAAGCUUGUUUGGACCUUCGUCGGAGCUUGAUCGAGAGUCAUUGCGUCCACCAUUGUCGCCGGAGUGAGCUUAAGCAUUUUCAUUCAAGUAAGUCUUAAUCGAUGUAAUUUGAGCGAUUUCUUUGCAUGGUUGAGUUUUGCACCUAUUUUAAUCACGAUUCGUCAUUAAACUUCAUGUUUUUGUGUUAAUGUAAGACUUUAUAAUUUUUGACUCAUAAACAAUAGAGAUGUCAACGGGGCAGGGAAUGUACGGAGGAUGUUUCCCCACUCCCCGCCCUGCCCCCCAAUAUUUUCCUCAUCCACAUCCCUGUUCUCCGUCACGGGGGAAUAUUAUUCUCCAUCCCCAUCCCCACGAGGAACCGGAGAUCCACGGAGAUCGAGUCUUGAAAAAAUUUAUAUAUUUUUCGAUCAAAACUAUGACACUAGUAAUUCGUUAUUUUUUCUUUUUUAAAAAAAAAGAUAUAUUUUGCAUAUUUCUUUUUAAAAAAAACAUAUCUUGUAUCAAUAACAAAAAAAAUGCAAAGACACUUGCAAUUACGAAAACAUAACUACUAAUUUACUAAUUGAAUGAAAAACAAGUUACUAAUAAAGUGUAGUGAAGUCGAAGAGUAAUUACCAUAAACACAAUGAACAAAGGAUAGUGGUUGUUGUGAUGAUGAUGAGAACGAAGGAGGGGAGGAAUGAAAGACGCAGAGAGAAUUGAGAAAAGAAGAAUAGGAGACGGUGUGUACAUUGUAUCCAAUGGAUGCAUUUUUAUAGGAUUUGGUACUUGGAAAAUUGAAAAAUCCAUUAUACAAUAAAACAAAAAAAUAAAAUGAUUCAUUGAUAACUCUUCAUUUUCUAAUAAAUUAAUUAUUAUUUUAAUAAAAAAAAUAUGCAAAAUUACAUAAUUAUAUAUUAUAUAUAAAAUUUAUAUAAUAUGGUCGGGGUAGGGGAAUCCAUAUGACGGAUGGUACUUUCCCAAUCCCCACUCCAAAGUGUCAUCGGGAUUUUUUUUUCCUCCAUCCCUAUUCCAACAGGAGAAAAAAUCCUCAACUUCGGAGCUCCACAUAGAUAAUCCCCACAGGGAUCCCCAUUAACAGGUGCAAAUUGACAUUCAUAUGAACACAUAAACUCAAAAAUGGUAAAAUCAUGAAUCUAAAUCUUUCUGCGCAAACUUAUACACCUUUGAGCCGGUUUUGCGCGUUGAUUUUGAAUAUACAAUUAGUUUUGCGAUUGAAUGUAUGUUUUAGCCGAAUGAAGUCAUUCUUUGCUCGUUUUUAAGUCACUUUUUAUUUUAUUUUAAUAUGAUAUGCGGCCUGUUUCUCAAUUCUAAUGGCAUAUUUGAAUUUGUUGCGAAAUUCAAACUCCAACGAUAUAUUAGUUUGUCAAAUUUGAUCGCGUUUUGGUGACAUCAGAAUUUUGUAUAUUGAUCAUUAUAAAAAAUAAAAAUAAAAGAAUGUGGGACCUAUGCGGUCCCACCACCUUUUUCCUUUAUUUGUAUAGGUAUUUGGAUUUAAGUUUGCAACUGGUUUAGUACGUUGCCAGUUUAUUACACUUUGAUCAGUUCAUGGGAUUGAAAAGCAGUGCGUAGCCGUGGUCUGAUUUGCUUGUAUCGGGAGCAUUUGAAAGGCAAUAAAUAGAGAGCUGUUUCAUAAUAACGAAGUGUGUUUUAUAGAUUUUCUCAAUAGUGUCUGAAUCCAAGGUAAUAGUCUGAUCUCAAUCGUGUCUGAAUCCAAGGUAAUAGUCUGAAUUAUAGCUUAUCUCAAUAGUGUCUAAAUCCAAAGGCAUGUCUUUUGGUAUGUAUGGAGGUUACAUGCAGAAUCUAUAUUUGGUGCACUUCUGCUUGGUGUGUAAUAGGCAUCUUGGUUAGCUUGAUGAGAACUGUCAUGAACAUGAAGCAGGUCAGAAGGGAUUAUUCUUUGCCGCUUGGUUCCUUGAGGUGGUGAAAUUUUGCUUGAUUUGGGAGAAACUUGGCUUGCAUAUAUUACCAAUGGAGUAAGAUGUGUGGUAGUUAAUUUUCAUGCCACAUUCUCAAUCUUAAUUAGUAUGAACUGUUUGUGUAGCAGUGGUGGAAGGUUUGAUCAAUUGUAGUGUAUUGAUAUCAGCACAUCUUGUUUAAUGCAAUUUGGCUUUUUUUUAAGAUAAAAAACUUAGUUUGAUUAACCUACUCUUAAUUACUUUAAGUUUUGAGUCGAUCAAAUACUUAUUUUGAUUAACUUACUCUUAAUUACUUUUUCUUUGUAUCUAUAAUAAUAACUCAAGAAUAAGGUGCCUUUGCUUUUUGCAAAAUAGGUAGGUUUUUGAGAAACAAUAGUACAGUGAAUACAUUACAUUGCAGUCUAAACAAUUGUCAUUUGCAUAAUUUAACAACAUGGGUGAACAGUGUAAAACACGUGAUUUACAACUCAACGCUAAAAAAGGAAGUACAUGAUAUACACGGGAAAAAAAGAAUACAAGCUAUCUUAUCUUAUUGUUAUUGAAAAAGCUACCAAAACUGAUAAGUUAGAUCCAUUCCUUUGGGUUGAUGCACGCAUCUAAGAGUUUCCAUUCUUCACUUCCUACUUCUGGUUUCUGCAAAGCAAAAUGAUAUCAGCAUUUCAGUACAAGAUUUAUAAAUGGAAUAUAAGAUGCUUCUAAUAUUCAACUUGUUUACACUUUAGUAGAAUAUAAAGAAGAUUAUAAAAUCAUACAUGAUCAUAUUCCCACCGAGAAGUCAGUGGGAGAGAAACAAGAAUACUCUCUAUUCUCCCUCCAGUUUUCAGUCCAAAUGUUGUACCUCUGUCAUAUACCUGUAGCCAAAAAACAGUAGCAACAUAAACUUAAACAUGAUCUCAAAAAGUGUAGAGCAAAACAUUUUGGUCUAUAAGAUAGCCUAAAAAGUGUACCAAAUUGAAUUCAACAUAUCGUCCUCUUCUCAAUUGUUGCCAUGCUUUCUGACGUUCUGUGAAGGGCAAAUCCUUUCUUUUCUCUAUGAUAGGUAUGUAUGCGGGAAUAACAGAGUUUGCACAUUCUGCAAGUAACCAUAGUUUAGGCAAGCACAUAAAUGAAAGAAGAUAAAUGUCUUUCAGCCGAAAAGCGGAGAACCAACAAUUUAUAUGUAUGCGCAAUUACCGGUAGCGAAGGAAAGGAGCAUCUCCUGAUCAUAAUCAUUCAGAUCAUCGAAAAAUAUUCCUCCCAGCCCUCUCCUUUCAUCUCGAUGCUGAAUUUAGAAUGAACAGAAAAAUAAGGAAAUACAACCAGAAACAGCAUAUACCAUGACUGAAUCCAAUUAGCAAAAAAAUAUGUAGUUACGCUUACGCCACUUUAGCCCCUAUACUGACUCAGCUGGUACACUAUGUUUACAGAAAUUGACAAACUAGAGAAUAAAAACAGUACAGAUAACCAGAUAUAGUUAUGUCAAAUUUGUCGCUUGUAAGCCCAAUAUUACCACCAUGGUUUUACCUCAUGUGAUUUCUGUUAGAAAUCCGCACCAGAAAAUAGGAUUUACUAUUGAAGGGAAAAGAGCAAAACUCUUACAAGAAAAGAACAAACUACCGUAGCCAAGGCUUUGUUGUGAUCACAUAUCGUGAUAUAGUAACUAAGGCAAUAACUGCUGGAGCUAAUUGACAAAAUGCACAUGAGGAUGGACAGAUGGCAUAUGAUCUUCACAAUCAGGAGCCAGGGCCUGUAAUUGAGAGAGGAAGCCUAACACAAAAUUCCUUCAAGUCAUGAUAAAUAGGAGAAGGAAUUCGCAGUGAUUGGUGUAAGAAUUAUGAAGUAUCUCUGUACUUCUCAUCUGGAAAUUCCUUCUGCACUUUCUUUUCCUUGCUAUUUCUCUUCAGUUCUAGAGCUAAGAAGUGGAUUAUUCUAUACAAAUUUCCCUAACAUCAUCUCAUUAAAAUCAUUAUUGUACGUUGCCAUUGUUAUUCUUAAUGAACAUUAAAGAGUUCUUCCAUCAUUAUCACUGUUAUAUUAUCUAAGUAUGAGCAUUACAGGAUCCUUCAGAGAGAAAUACUCCCUCUGCCAAACAGUCAAAGAGUUAACAAGCUAUUACAUGAAUGAAUGGAUGAAAUAGUACUACUAUCCUUCCAAUUAUUUAUACACUCAAUUCUAACAGAUUCCCCUAUAAAAGUGGCACCUCUCAUGCCACAUCCAUAACUUCCAGGUUCCGUCAUCCUUCUAGAGUAUACCUUCCACGGUUUGGGUUAGGGCCAGUGUCCAAAACCUGGUCCUCUUCAUGGCCCAAAUCAUUAUUGGACCCCAGGGUCCUAUCACUUUCUUUUGCAGGAUUUAUGAGUCUAGAAAUCAAGUGAACCUUGCGGUUACAAUGCAUGCAAAAAAAUCAACCUAUCUAAGACACCACCUAUCUAUUCGUAUUAUAAUCUGUAUAUACUACAUGCGAUGAUAUCUCCAUCCAGCUCUUGAUGCCCCAGCAUCACAAACACUCUUCCAUUUCCUAUAAAACACUCUAACCUACAGUCAUCAUUGCUACAAACUACACAGACUGGUUUAAUGUUUACUAUAGCCUACAGACUGGUUUAAUGUUUACUAUAGCCUUCAACUCAUCAUGUAAAAAUUUUAUCAAAGCUAAUGAUAACAGAUAGACAAGAAAAAUUCAAAUUUACUCUUUCACUAAAGGUUGAUGAACUGAACACUGAAUGCUCAUCACCGUACGACAAAAACACUUCAUUAUGUGAAAAGGGAUAAGACUGUACCUUGAUAUAGAAGUAAUCGUCACACCAUUUCUUGAAUCGGGGGUAAAAUGUAGGAUCAAAUUUGUCACAAGUCUGUUUUUGAAUCUGCAACAAAAGCAUGAUGUAAACUCAGUCAAGCACUUGUUCUUGAAUGCCUUAAAUAAAUACAAAACCAGAUGAUCACGACAAUGUUUCUAAAAAAUAAAGUUUAAACAGAAAAUCAUGCGGAAGAAUUUCUCAAGCAUCCUAUAUUCUCUCUUUUAUUAAACCAAUUUGGACAAGAGAUUCUUAUUUGGAAGGGGUGGGGUGUAGAAGGUAAUCACCAACACCAAGUUAUCAUUUCAGAAGAAAUUUAGGAAAACAUGGAAUGAAUAUUUUGUUCCCAUUUCAUGGUUCAGUUCAAAUGUAACAUAGAAACAAAUGUUUGAAAUUAGAUAGCAGAUUUCUCACGCAUUUGAAGGUACAUUUUAUAGAAACACACAGAACCAUAUCCCUAUGCUUAAUAUUUCAGCGCCACCCAUUUCAAAGGAACCAAACUACACAUAUUAAAUUCAAGAAAACCUGUCUAAAACUGCAAACCCAUAUUAAAAGUAAUCACCUGAGACGUCAAAGUAAGGUGAUAUUUUAAAACAAAGGAAACUAUUUUAAAAAAACAGUUUACCAAGGAAUUUGACUCUUAACCACAAAAUUUGAUAAACCAAGUGUUAAGAACAUACUGAGUGGAAGUGCUUGACAUCCUCUUCAAAAAUAUAAGCAGGGGUUAAGUCGGUUCCUCCACCGAACCACCAUUGUCUAGGUGCUCCAGGAGCGUCUGCAGAAUGAAAUAGCAUGACAAUCAAUAGAAGCAAACUCAAGAGUCCUGUUAUCCAACGUUGCUACAAGUUUCACACUUUCAUGCUAGUAUAAUAUAUGUAUUAGACAAUACUGUUAGAGGACACUAGGGGUAAUUGGCAGUGUUAUUUCUGGCACGUGACAGGUGCACAUUGUACUUGUAUAUAAUAAUAUAGUAUAGUGAGAAUUCAGAAUAAUUUUUUCCAAAAUGAUUAUAAUGAGAAAUAGCUCAGAAAAUGAACAAAGUAGUGUUUGAAUAAAAGAAAGAAAAAAUAAAUUGCAUUACCUUUAGGGGCAUCAGUUUCAAAAUAGCGAUAAUUGAAAUGCAAGGUUGGGGCAAAUGGGUUCUUUGGAUGUAAAACCUGAACACAUAGAAAGAAAGACAGUGAGAGAAAAAUACAAUUGAGUUAUUCAAUGCUUGGUUUCAGUUUUGAGAGAAACAAACAUGAUUCUAAAAGUAUACAAUUGAUUUUGACAUUUCAUGUUUUUACCUCCAAAAAAUUUUAUUCUAUGCUUGAAGUUGAAAUUCCAUGUUUUUGCCUCUAGAAUUGAGAUUGUCUAAAGUUAUUGUUGAACUCACUUUACAUAUACAAACAUAAAUCAUGUUAUACCCAACUCAGUCAAUGUUUGGUUCCACAUAUGAACCUCCUAGAAUCGUGUUUCGGUAAGUCAAACUUGAUUUAACCAUGAAUUGUCAUGUUCAAUUUCCAGAUUCAGAAUAGAUUCAAGUCUCAAAAUCAAUUCUACCUAAAAGUUAAUAUUUCUAUCUUCUGCCGUAGGAUAUAAUCAAUUCUCAAGUAUAUUGUAACAUGUAUACACAUAGAAAAAUAAUUCUGAUCUAAACUAUCCAAACAUGAAUUUAUAAAAAAUCAUUCUUUUCAUAAAUGCAUGCAAACAUAAAUCACUUCAAAUUUAAAUUCAAGUCUCAGUACAUCUAAAAUCAAUUCAAUAAAUAUCAAUUUUCCAGAGCUGCAUAACCAAACAAACACUUAAUUUUAACUUAAAUCACCCCAGGACGACCGCAUUUAAGGUUGCAAUACUUGUACCUACUGAAAUCGUAACAGACGGUUUUCUAAAACCUUUAUAUCUAUCAUCAAUCAAAUUUUGAAAAACUCCACAGAAUUCCACAUAUAUGUUUCUAACAUUUUCUUCAACAAAUCUAUGCAAUCUCGCAUUGAAUCAUGGAAAAUGCAGAAAACUUACAGAGCUGAUUCCGGCAGCGAAAAAGGGAAUAGGACCAGGCUUCUGAUCCGCACUGGCACCACCUUUAGCAGCACGAUAAGCAUCGGGAGGCAUUUGACCAUAAACAACAGAAACAUUAACACCAGCUUUCUCCCAAACAUCACCAUCUUGAAGAACCCUACUAAUACCACCACCGCCACCCGGUCUAGACCAAACAUCUUCUCUAAACUUUCCACCACCAUCAGCAGCUUCAAUCGCAUUACAAACACUAUCCUGCGCUUCUCUAAUCAUCUUCUCAAACCUAACCCUAACCGACGACACACCUCCGUCGCCAUCGCCGCCUCGGAGAAACGUUUCCGGUCGUUCAGCUUCUGGAGUUUCCUUCUCUAUUGAAACGGUUGCUUUUACUAGAACUCUUCGAUGAGAGCGAGUGGAUUUUGUUUGGAGUAGUGGAUUUGGGUUUUGUUUGGUGAAGAGUUUUGUUGUUGGAAAAUUUGGAGAUGAUUUUGAAGAGGUGAAGGUGAAGGGGAUAACGGCGUAUGACGGAGCUGUGACGGAACUUGUAGACGGCAUUGUAACAGAAUUCUGUUACUGUUAGAUUUGAAGCAAAAAAAAAAAGGUGAUUGUGAUUGGCGAGAGUUAGUUACAGAUAAGAAGAAGAAGAAAGAAAUGAAGAGAAGAAGGAAGAGGGCUUUCAAAUUGAGUAACGAGAUAUCGAUAAGGUGUUUUUUAUUUAUUUAAAUGUUAUAACAGAUUAUAUUUUUUCAAUUAAAAUUUGAUUGGGAGAAACUUAAAAGUUUAUGAUUUUAUAGAAAUUAAUUACUAAAAUUAUAAUCAAUCAUUUGAAUUUUUUAUUAAUUGAUGAAUACUACCCGUAGUAAAUUGCACACUGUUUGUGGUAUCUACCAGCGGCAGCCAAAAGUCAAGUGGUGUUUCAGUGUAACGCCCACAGAAAGAAGAAAGUGCAAAGAAGGCAAUAAAUUCAAAUUCAAACCACCUCUUACAUUGGUUUUUGGCUGCUAAGUAUUUUUUUAAAUUUGUCCUAGAGGUAAAUUAGAAUUUAUUACCGUGUUUAAUGUAGCACACACCAGAAGAAAAAAGACAUAAUAUUUUUACACGCCACUAAGUCUAGAUAAUCUCUAGAGUUUUCCGAUCACAUUUUUUUUACUUUUUUAAGUUAAUUUUCAGAUUAAAUUAAAGAGACAUCAUUAUUAUAACAAAUAUUAAUUCAGAGAUAUAUUUUUGUACGUGAAAAAAGUAUAUUCGAAGAAAUAUCUUUGUAAAUGUUAUUUAUUUCAAAAUUUAUGGAUGGUUUCGAGAUGCAAUUUUUGGAUGAUAAUGAUUCAUAUCCCGCGUCAGAUCUUCCAUCUUCCUCCUUCUUCAUUUUAAAAAAAGUUCUCAAAACAACAUUUGAGCUCCGUAACAUUGAGCAUUCUCAUUCAUUCAUACAAACAUCAUUCAUUGGAGCUCUGCAACACUUAAACUUCUCACCUCUUUUCCAGCAUCUCAAACAUUCAAGCUACUUCUCAUCAUUUUGAUUAGAUCGGUAUUUCAAAAUUUAAUCUCUUUUUAUUUUUUGAUUUGUAGAUGGUUGUUUAAGCUAUAUUAGAUGUAUUAGGUACGAUAAACAAUAGUGUAAACGAAUUUGGUAGGCGAGAUGAACAUGCAUUGAGGAUUUUUGGGACUGGUAUCUUUUCUGCCGUGGGAAGAAGAGAAAGAAAAAAGAGGAAACACUUGAUGGAAAAGGAAGAAAUAUCGUCAUCAUCAUCAUUAUCAUCUCCAUCUUUUAAAAAACUCAAUUCAAGACUCUACUAAGGUGGGUUCUUAGUUAGCAUAACCUUGGGAGGAGAUUUUUCAUGAAAUUGGGUUCAAGGUUUUGGUAAAUUCUUAUUUGUUUGUGAAGUUGAUGAUUAAAACAUGAUUAUUGUUAUGUCUUGCACUCUUAUUACUAAAUAAUAAAGUUAUAUGGUGUUUAUUCUUGUAUGGUUGUUAUGUUGUUCUUAUAUUGAUGUUAUGUUCAUGUUGUGUGAUCAUGUGAUGAAACUAUGUUAAUGUUAUUAUUUCUUGAUGUUGUGAUAUAUUGAUUACAUGAGUUGUGUUAUUAUGGUUAGAGAUUCAUGAGGUUAAGAAGUGAUGAAAACAUAGUUGUCUAUAUAUCCUUGUAUGUUGUUGAACAUGGUUUCAAAUGCUUGGGUAUGUUAGACUAUGAUUAAACAUGGUUAGAAUGGUUAAAGAUAGAAGAAGUUGUGUUUAGAAGUGAGAUUUUUGGAAUAAUUGUCGAGUACAAUUGAUCUCCUUGAAGAAACAAUCAAUUGUCAUCAUUAAUGUAUGAAGAAAUAAGGAAAUUUGAGGUGACAGUCGUUUGUCACCCUGCUACAAUCGACCGUCAUGUUGCUUCGAGUGAAAAAUCAUGGAUAGAAUGUUCAGAAUAAUCAAAUGUUCCUCAUGACAAACGGUUGUUUCCCUUGUUCUUUGCCAAAUAUAACUUAUUUGAGGAUUCUAAGCUAUCAUGGAUGCCCUAUAACUUGUACUAUGAUAUGUAUGCAUUGAAUGAACAAUAAUCGGUCAAACUCUAUGAUAAUGAACGAGGUUAAACAUAAGAUCAUAGUUACAUGAAGAUGAUUAGUAAAGAUGAACUUAGGUUAUGAUGAAUAAUUUAGGUUGUAAUUCUCAAUUGUGAAAGGUACCUCGGUGUGUACCCAUGAGCGAAUUGUCACUUAAGAUGAAUUAUUCCAUCUAUGAGAGUGUCUUAAUGGCAUGGAUGGUGAACGAUAGUCUAGUUGCACAUUAAUGGGAUUUAUAUGGAAAGAAAUUAUGAUAAUGUGAUUGAUGAGAAUAAUCAUGCGGUGAUUAAUGAGUAUAAUCACAUAGUGAUUGAUUAGAAUAACCACGCAUUCGGGAAUAACCUUUAUUCGUGCUUGUCCGAGUCCAAUUCUUAUGUAAAGUAGUGAUCAGGAUAGACAAACCAUUUAUUUGUAACCUCAUAUUGGUUUAGAGUCCCAUAGAGGAGUGACCCUUACAGUGGGUUAGAGUCCCAUAGAGGAGUGAACCUCACAGUGGGUUAGAGUCCAAUGGAGGAGAAAACUUCAUAGUGGGAAGGAUAAAUCAUUGAGAUGGAUAUUGUGACCUAUAUCUUGACCUAUGUAAGAGUGCUUAUCGGGGAAAUUAUUUUGAUUAAGGGGUAACGUGACCCAUGUCCUGACCCAUGUGAAGCUAGCGGAAAUAUUACCCGAACGCAUCGUAUGUUAGAACAUACAACAGAGUCGCCAUCAAACUUUAUUUAUUCCUGAAGGAAAGGAAAACAUCGAUAAAACCUGGGGGGAAGAGAUAAUUGGGUAAGGAAGUCAGUUAUACAAGGGGAAGGUAUUAACACCCUUCAUAUCCGUUGUAUUCAACGAAAACUAUUUUGAUUGUUCUUGCUCAAAUGAGUGUUAUAUCUAAAGCUUACUCGCGAGAGAUAAAGGGAAAAAUGAAUGAAUAGAUAAAGUGCUCGGAGAGGAUUAAGACCCUCAUGCCUACGUAUCCUUAUAAUGCAAUAAGGAAUUCAGAGAUUCCGUAGUUCAUAUAACUAAUGGUGGGAGGUGAAAAGAAGAGUGAUAAAUGUAUGGUCUGAACCAAAGGAUAAUGUUGUUUGACUCCAAAAAGUGAUGAAAUCUGAACCCAAGAGUAAAAUUGGUAUGAACCAACAAAUUGGGGGCCUAAGGCAUGGUAUCAUUGUAUUAGAAUAACCGAAAAAGAUAAUUAAAUGUAUGACAAUAAGCCAAACUAUUCUUGGUUCGUAAGCAGACAUAAGAUGGAGCUCAAAGAAAUAAUGUAUUUGGCUCAAAGAUAACCGGUAUAUCACAUGGAGUGAAUGAACGCAUCAUGAAGAUGAAUGAAAUGAUAGAGAAAAGUAUCCAAAGUCCAAGAAAUGAAGAGUUUGGUAAAAGUGACAUAAGGGUAUAAUUUGGAACAAAAGGUAAGGGUGUAUUGGAAUCCAUAAGAGAAAUAACAUUUGCAACCACAAGUGAGGGGCCUAAGGCAUGGUAUCACUGUAUGGUUGGGCCAAAAACAAGGAAUUAAAUGUUUAGAAAUAAGUCAAAUAACUCUUGUCACAAAGGUGGGUAAGUGUCCUAAAAGGGUAUAUAUGGAAUUCCAAAGAAAAGUGGUGUUUGGUUCCAAAGAAAGGCAGUAUGUCAUCGAGAUGAAUGGUUUAAUGAUUGAAGGUAGAUUAUGAAUCAUGAAAGAUGUUGGUGGUGCCCUAAGAUGGAAAAAGGAAUAAUGAAGAUUGUGUUUGCCAAGGAUUCGCAUCCUCGUGCCUACGUAUUCUCAUCGUGCAAUGAGAAAGUCAGAUCAUUCGUAGUUCACAUAACCACGAAAACAAAGAGAAUGAGAGAUUGAAGUGAUGAAAAGUAUAACCUGCACCAAAAGAAAAUGGUAGCAUGGGAGCCCAUACAGGGAAAUGAACUUUGAACCAAAGAGUAAACAAACAAAUAAACAAAUAAACAAGUGGGGGGCCUAAGGCAUGGUAUCAAUGUAUUGGAAUGACCUGAAACAAAGAGAAUUAAGUGUCUGGCAAUAAGCCAAACAACUCUUGGUUCACAAGGGGGACUCCGAUUAGAUCGUCCUAAAAGGAUAAGUAUGGAACCCAAGGGAAAAUGAUGUCUGGUACAAGGAAUAUUAUAUCACUAUAGGGAACGAACAAUGGUAUAUUUAAUCCAUGAAGGAAUAAACUCUAAACCAAAGAGUAAAGGUAUACCAAUAAGUGAGGGGCCUAAGGCAUGAUAUCACUGUAUUGGAAUGACCAAUAACAAAGGAAUUAAGUGUUUGGUAAAAAGCCAAAUAGCUCUUAGUUCACAAGGUGGACUCCGAUUAAAUCUUCCUAAAAGGAUGUGAAUGGAAUCCAAGGAAAAAUAUAUUUGAUCUCAAAAAGAUGGUAUUGAUUGAUGAAGAAUUAUGAAGAAUAUGAUUAAUAAAUAAGGUAGAAAGAAAUAAGGUAGCUUGCAAAGAAUCUGAAUCCUCGUGCCUACAUAUUCUCAUCGUGCAAUGAAAAAGUCAGAGCUUUCGUAGUUUAGCCCACUAGGAACGGAACAAAGACAACAAGGGACUGAUGCAAGAGAAAUGAUAUAUGAUAAUGGAAUAUGAAGAAGACUUGGCAGUCAUUUGAUAUGAACCACACUAAAGUCUGAGUAAAAGUGAAUACGAUGAACAACUAGGUCAUUCGUCCCGUACCCCAAGAUAUUCAGAAUGAGUUAAUAGAAUUUUCCACUCUCAUUCACUCUUUACUACUUAAGGCUAGUUGCAUGUGAUUCUCAUCAUAACUUUCAAGUUGCUGAAGAAGAAUUCUUGUUGCUCCUUGUGAUGAUGAUGACUUUAUCAAUCAUUUGAUUCGAAUUUCAUGAAAGUCUAUGAAUAAAGGAGAAUACCUUGAGCAACUAAGUCAUUCGUCCAGUACCCAAGGAUACCCUAGACAAGGAUAGGAAUUCUCCACUCUCAUCAUUCUUUAUUACUUAAUGCUCAUGGCAUACAACUUGAAUCAUGAUUGAUAAGUUGCUGAUGAAGACUUCUGGUUGUUGCACUGCUGCUUUAUGAAGGGAGACUGACAAUCAUUUGAUUUGAAUUAUGCUAAAGUAUAUGAAUAAAGGCGAAUAUGAUGAGCAACUGGGUCAUUCGUCCCGUACCCAAAUAUAUUCAGAAUAAGUUAAUAGAAUUCUCCACUCUCAUUCAUUCUCUCUUUCUCAUGGCUCAUAUCACACAGUACAAAUAUUGAUUGACAAGCUCUUGAAGAAACACCUUUGAUAUGCUUUGUAUAAUCCGUUGCUUGAUUUGUCUAGGAUGUCUUGCAUGAAAGUCUGAACUUGAGGCCUUGAGAUCCACAAUAUUACAUAAAUAGUCUUAUCAAGUGAUCAAUUGACUUUUGAUCACUUGAGUAGACCGUGGGAUUAUACACAAUCAAAAGAUUUAGUUAAUCAAAAUUUCUUUUGAUCAAUUUAAUCAAAGGGAUUGAAUUUAAUUGAAAGUAAUGUACAACCUAAUCUAAAAGUCAAUGAUAUAUAUAAACCCUAACUAAGGGAUCAUACAACACUAGGAUCAAGUUAAUCAUCUAUCUAAUAUCACAUGGAAAAACAAAUUGAUUAAAAUGACUAAUUAAUCUAAAUCAAAGUCCUAAUCUAAGGGAACAUGAAUUAUAUGCCUAAACCCUAGGGUAAUCAAACUAAUCUAAAAAAAACUAUCAACAUGACAUAUUAGUUUCUAAAGAAUUCAAUUGAAAGCUAAUGAUUAAUUUCUAUGCUAAAGCUAAUGUAUUAAUUCUAAACUAAUGUAUUAAACUAAAACUAAAGGAUGGUUAUAUUUAUAAGUAAACUAAAGUAUAAGUUCAUUUAAAACUAAUGUAUUUAAACUAAGACUAAUGUAUUAAAAGAAAAACUGAUGUACUAAGACAAAGGAACUAAAAACGUGAAGCUACAGCAUGAAUGAACAACCGACUCUAUUCGAGUGGCAGUAGAUUGUAGUAUAGAUGCUACAAUUUUCAUAACAACUUCAUUUGAAUGCAUUCUCUUUUAUUCUGCAAGUGCAAGUUCACUCUAAAUGCAUGUGUUGUACUAGUAUACUAAUGGAGUAUUAUAUUUUAACACUUAUGUGACACCCACAUGCAAACCAAUAUUUUAAUAUUUAAAAAAAGAAUGAUUAAAGAUUAAAAAAAAAGAGAUAAUAAUAGAAAAAGUUAUGUAUCAGUAAACAUUUUAACACAAGUAGAAUAAUAAAACAACAAUGAUAAGUAAUAAAACACUAGUACUAGUAAGAAACAAAAGCGGAAUGUACAAGAUGUGAAUACGCAGAGGAGAAAAAAACAAAUACUAAGUUUUCGAUAACGGUUAAGAGAACCUAAUUCGACGAAUUAAUAUAUCAUUAGAAUCAGAAUUUCACAAAAAAAUCAAAUAUAUAUUGCGAAUUACGAAACAAUCUACGAAUUAUACCGAAGAAGCUGCAAAAGUGGGUAAAAAAUUUGAUUAAAGAAUGUGUCGGUUCGACUAAAAUAUGCAUCGGAACGAAAAGAUAAUUAUAUAUUCAUGAUCAGUGUGAAAAAUGAUUCAAAUUGUAUAUUCACAUGUUAUUAAUAGUUAAGAAUUAAAAUAUCAUUAUUUUCAAGUUUAUGUGUCUAAUGAAAAAAUGAUUAUCCAACAAGCAAUUCCAAAACAGUAGAUUAAGUUAAAUCAACCAACAAAUAUCCAAUAAUUUAUGGUAAGAGUGUGGAAGAGAUAUAAGAUUAUCGACAAAGCAAAGAUUGACUCCGAUUAGUGUUGAAAAUCGGAGCGCCGAAAAAAAUUCGAAAAAUUUCAAGAAUGAGCUCCUUUAAUCCAAUUAACUUCCAAGGCUUGAUGAUUGUUUUUUAUGAUGAAUGAAUGUAGAAGAUAAUGUAAAAUAUAUAAUAUUGAUAAACAAUCUUGAAUUGAUGAACUUUGGAUGAUCGUUGAUGAUAAUAUAGAAAUUAUUGAUGGAUGAUUUUUUUAUGAUAAUGCUUAAAUUGUUGAUUGAUGAUUUGUUGAAGUUGGAUUGUGGCUAAGUUCCACCAUUUUAGAACUUCAAUGUGAAGUUCUAAAUGGUGGUGAAGAUGAAAUUUAGGGAGGGUGAGUGAAAAGAUGAAUAUUGAGAGAAAAAUUGAGAAGAAAAAGUGGUGGAAAAUAAUUAUUAAUUGUGAAUUUUUCAAGUUAAGUUAGUGAUGUUAGCUAAGGCCAAAUUAUGAGAAAAUAAAAUGUUUGUAUAAAAUUGGUACGUGAAUGAUCAUCCUUAGAUUAUGAUCCAAGUAAUUGGUUUAUCAAUUGUUAGAAGUUAAUUUAAUCCUUAGUUGCGGAUCACCAAUUUCAACCAUAGAAUUAAUUGUUAAGAGUGAUUAUGAUUGAGUGGAAAAAACAGAAGUUGAGAUUUGUGUUUGUUUUAAAGUUUUGUGUUAAUUUGGAAGUUAUGGUAGUUAUGAGUAAUUAGGUAAAUUGAUGACUUGUGGGGAUAUAGGUAGUUAAGGGUAGUUACAGAUCAAUGAUGUUGAAGUUUAGCAAAAGUACCAAGUUAAGAUGUAUGACAAAGAGUCAGUAGUAAUUAACUUGAAUUUUUAUGUAUUUGCCUUGAUUUUUCUACCAUUUUUGGCUUGAAUUUUGGAUGGCUUAACCCAUGACUUUAGUAUUUUUGAGAAGUGAUAUUUUCCAAUAAAUGAAUGAAAGUUUCCUUUUAUUCUAACUUUGUCAUUUUCUUUGAAUCCAAGCAAAUCUUAGAAAUAACCAUGAAUUUCAAAUAAAGAGAUGAUCCCCACCACAAGUAAUACGGGAAAUAAACGUGAAUAAUUAUCAAAUAAUAUUCACCUCAAAAAUCCACUUAUACCGAUUAAAUCUAUUAUAAUCUAACCUUUGACAUAAAUUUGUUACCUUAUGCAAAUGUUGAUGAAUGCAUGAUCAAAUAGAAACAAAGUAUGUAAAUGGACAAAAUCACAAGCUAGGCAAAUUUUGGGGUAUGACAUCAUGUAAGAGGUUUUUUCUAGGAAUAAUAUUUUGAUUAUCGUGGGGAGUCUGUGACCCAUGUCUUGUUCUACGUGAGAGGCACUUGGGAAGUUCCUAUGGACGGGCAAGCUUUCACAUUUCUUCUCUUUCACACUCUAAAGCUUCAAUUCCUUUUUCCAAACAUAUAACCACUUCACUUGAAUUUGCUUAAGGAUGAGGCUUGAUAUGUAUUCAAUUCAGAUGCCAUCAUCAGAGGAUAUUACUAGUGAUCAUCAAAUCGUAAUCCUUUAACUUGAUGACUUGAUUAACUAUAUUGUGCAUCUUUAACUGCUUGAACGAGCUUUAUCACUUUCUUGUCUUAAUGCAUUGUUGUUGUUAAAUAUACUCCAAGGGAUGUUGCAACUUUAGGUGUUGUCAUCAUCAAAAUCAUGAUGUUAUUAGAGCUAGGCAUAUCUUGCUUGUUUAUGAGCUUUUAUCACUUCUUGAUUAAUCAUGCAAGCACAUGGUUCCACAAAACCUCAUCUUACAAGGAUAUGAAGUUUAAAGACUAAUUUUCAACCAAACAAUGAACAAAGUAUAUCUUCCAAAUCAAAUAGAGAUUUUACAAGGGUUGAUCUCGAUUCAAAAUGGAGUUUUACACUAGCUAUCCUCCCAAUCAAGAUAGACCUUUAUAUUGGUUAUCCUCUAAACCAAACUGGAUUUUUACACAUGAUAACCUACGAAUUGAGAUGGGAUUUUACACAGACUAAUCUCGAACCAACUAAGCUUUUACACCAGACUAAACUCAGGAACCAAAGUGAGAUUUUACACAAAUUAAUCUCAAACCGGCAUAGCUUUUACAUCAGGAUAAGCUCAAGAACUGUUGUGGAUAUUUUACUAGAUGAUAUUCACGAACCAAAAGAGAGACUUUCUUCCAAGCAAAAUUCCCGAACCAAAUAGAGACUUCCUAAGACAAUUCCCCAAAACAAAUAAGAACUUUUAUUAGUUUAGCUCGCAAUCAAACAACUUCUUAUAAAAGAAUAUUUUACUUAAGAGAUAAUACACUAUUUUUAAAUAAAAAUUAAGCGCUCACCUAGAACAGUGUUCCUCACUUAGACACAAGAACAUUCUCGAAGCACUAAGGCAAAAUAUGUGCGAGAGAAAUGAGAGAUUUAUAGAAAACGGUGAGAGAGUGGUAAAGUAGGAUCAAAGAUCACACUCUGGGUGAUUUAAAAUGUUAGACAAGCUUUUUGCUUAUAUGUCAAUUGGUGGUAUAAAUUUGGAAACAUUCUAUGAAAAAUUCAAGUCUCAUAAUCGAUUAGCCUAAUAAAUUAUUCAACCCCAAAAAAUGAAUGUUUUGAUUUCUAGAUAUUGCCAGUUAUUAAGAAACUCUUUCUAAUACAUUAUAGGCAUUACAGAUUGAAAUAAUUGAUUAUAGCACUAUGUCUAAUAGAUUAUUUACUUGUAAACAAGCUUCCGAAAUAUCAAACAGUUCCCUAAUCAAUUAACUAUGCGUUAAAAACAUUUUUAGGUAGUUUUUACAAAAUAAGAUAGGAUUCUCAAUGGUUUUAAGUGAGUGUGAUUUUGCCUUAGUAUUUCAUGAAAUGCCACUGUGCCUUUACGAGACACUAGUCACUCAUACAAACACGACCAAACGAGCUUUUACACUUCCUUUUUUUCACAACUUUGAAGCUUCAACUCACUGUAUCAUUAUCUCUGACUUUAACAUCACACAAGAAUAUUUAAUCUUAUAGCUUUACGAGGAUUGAGAUAUUUUCUAGUUGAUUACCAUCAUUAUAGAGUUAAGAGAGAACAUACCAUCAACAAACCUUAAAACAAAAGUCUUCACUUGAAUGUCGUUUAACCAUAAUGUUGAAUUCAAAGAGAUGAUUUAAUCUUCAAUAGCAUCUUAAAAAAGAUAGCUUGAUAAAUCGUCAUGAGCAUCUUUGAGAGAUAAGGACUUCACUAAAUAUCAUUUGAUAUAAAGUGUUGUCAUCAUCAAAACCAAAGAACCAAUUAGUUGAUUGUAGCUUUGCUAUCAACAAACUUCACCACCUUAAAUCACCUUGACAAUACCAACAAGCACAUAGUUCCAUAAGAUCUUCAUCAAAUUCUACUCAUCCCCAUUCAAGUUAAGCACAAAACUCUCACAUUUUGUAAGUUUAUCAUGUCCUUACUUUAUUUAUUAUUUCUUUAUUUAUGAGGCAUGCAAUUCAUUAAUAGUUUAAAGUUAUGUCACAUUAGGAUAUAUUCAAUAUAAAUAUAUCGUUGGUUUCUUUUUAAUAAGAUUUGGUGUGAAUUUCUGGUUCAUUUUAGUAUCAAUUUUGAAAUCUAAACCCUUGGUGUGGAUAAUAAAAUCCAUAUUUUUUAGUUAUUCAUUCUUUUUUUAACUCUGUUUGCUGAUAAAUUAUUUUUUAACUAUAUAGAAAAAAUGGAUGAUGAACAAUAGAGAUACAAACAUGAUUGAAUCGUCUUCCUUGGGUCAUAUAUCUCCGGCUCAUGAUGAAUCACUUGUUUAUCCCGUUCAUGAUGAUAUACAUGUGCAUGAUCCACAUCCACAUCAUGGUGAAUCACUUGUUUAUCCCGUUCAUGAUGAUAUACAUGCACAUGAUCCACAUCCACAUCCUGUAGUCGGACCUGAUGCUACCUCACUUGCUAGUUUUUAUAGAGACCCCUAAGACACUUCCAUACUUCCUUUAUAUGUACACAAUGUUAUAGUUUAUGUGUUGGAGGGAGAGGUUAAAUGAAUGUUAUAUUACUUUUUUAAACAUUUUUUUAUAUUAAUUGAAUUGUCUGACAUUGAUGUAUUUAUUUUUGGCAAGAAGAUAUUAAAGAUAUCGUAGCGUGAUGAACCAUGAUUUCAGGAAGUCUUGGAGCUAUUUGGGAUGAAAGACUUCAAUAGGACUAGAUAUGGUUAUAUUAACCAUGGUUUAUUUUCUAUGUUUUUUGAGAUAUAACAUGCAGAGACAUCAUCAUUUCAUAUUUCGAUCAGUGAUAUGACUAUCUUAAUUGGAGAUGUAUCAUGCAUUCUACAUCUUCAGAUCACAGUAAUAUUUUUGGAUCACUCCAAAAUUACUAGACUUGAGGCCCUCGACCUGAUGGUGACAUAAUUAGGGGUUGAUAUGGGUAAAACCCAGUAUGAGAUAAAAGAAAUUAGGGAAAUGUCAUGUUAUAUUCUCAUUCAUAUCGAAAAAUCAUAUUAACCACCUUAAUGCGACUUGAGUGUUGCAGGUGAUGAGAUACAUGUUUCCUAUUAUAGAGUACGUGCAUAAGGACAUACUUACUGAUCUUGGUUGACACUGGUAUUUUUAUGGACAAAAGUGCGAUCUAUGUUGACAUUGUCUAUAUUAAAUACUUCACGGAUUUGGAGAGGAUUCAUGAGUACAACUGGAAUGAAUCUUGUUUGGCUUACCUCUACUCUAAGUCUGUUGAAGGUAGUUUAUGGAAGACCAAAUAGAUAAAAUGAAGCAACCAUUUAUUUCAGAUAAUUUAUUUACACCCUUACUGAUAAUUAUUUCACAAUAUUUUUGCUACAGACUUACUAAUAUUUCACUUGAACCAUUUUUCAAGCAUGUCUCCUAUAUCAUUUUCCAAGCGUGAGCACUAAUAAGGGUGCUAAAAGUAAGCCCUAUUCUAAUCCCACAAGCCCAAUUUACUAGCUUCUGAAGAAGCCCAUCAAUCAUUCAUGAAAUAAAAACAAAACUCACAAUGCAAGCAGCUGCCGCUACCGCUUGCCCUUCUCUACCAUCAUUCUCAAGCAAGCUGUAGUCGCACUCAACCCCCCGGAGUUAACCGUCGUAAGAACCAACAUCACCACAAACAACCAGGUUAACAUCUAUUUAUAUUCCAAAUUUCCCUUCUCCUUUCCCGGCGCGGCGGCAGCGCGUCACAGAAAUCGAUUUGCGCCGCCGCAGUCGACACCAUAAUCUCCCCUUUCCUAACACAUCGUUGUUAUUGUUAUUUUUGUAGAAUUGAAUUGACCUAAAAUGGGAGUUGGACGUGAAGUCUCAAUCUCACUCGAUGGAGUAAGAGACAAGAACAUUAUGCAGCUCAAGAAGCUCAAUAUUGCUCUCUUCCCCGUUCGUUACAACGAUAAAUACUACUCCGAUGCACUUGCUUCCGCCGAAUUCACCAAACUAGGUUCGUUCGUUCCUAAUUUACUAUCUAUUUUUAUCAAAGAAGUUAUUAAAAAAGAUCUUGAGAUUAAUGACUUGGAUAGAAACAUGGUCUUUGAUAGAACAUUAUGGCUGAAAGUUGAUCCAUGUAGUGGGAUAAUGCAUAGUAGUUGUUGUUUGAUUUGCAUUUCACUUUUUUUUUGUAACUGAUCUUGAAUUCCUAUAUGCUACCUUCUGCUUCUGCAAUAUCCCUGCAUUUGAUUUCUAUUAGGAAUUUGAUUCUGCAUAGAUAAAAUUAUGAAUUCAUGUCUAACUUAUUUAGAUUCGAACAUAUUUACUCAUUUCCCCUAGCUAGAAUGAUUGGUAACCCCUUUAUAAGAGUUUUAAGAAGAGCAUAGAAUACAUAUGAUAGGAUAGUUCUCUUGGUUUCUUCGGUAUAUGUGCAGAAUGCUAAUGGUAGAACUCAUUCAUACUGAUUCUUUUCAUUAUUUUCCUCCUUCAUUUAAGGAGGUUAUGUGAAUCGUUUUUUCUUUGAAAGCUCUCUUUACUUAUGGUAAAAGAUCUUUCAUCCACAUCCCGAAAAUUUUGUGGAAGCUUUACUUUAAUCCAGCGCGAGUUCUAUAUAUCUUCACUACUUCAUAAUACAAUACAUUUGCGUGCUUCUGAGUGUUUUUGACUUAGUUAGAACUUGGAAUGCAAGCUUUACUUUAAUCCAACUGGCCUGUUUGAUAUCUCCGUGCUUUCACUUUGCAUGAUAAUAUCGAUGAUACUUAGAUGUGGGUGUGCAAGGGACCUUUUGGGUUUGUCUAACACAUUCGUUAUUGUGCUUUCUUUCAGCUUACUACAGUGACAUUUGUGUUGGUGCGAUUGCGUGCCGGCUUGAGAAGAAGGAAGGUGGAGGCCAAGUUCGGGUUUACAUCAUGACUUUAGGUGUUUUAGCACCUUACCGUGGACUUGGUAUUGGUAAGAAACAUAUUUAAUAUAUUCCCCUUGCUGUUACCUGGUAAUUGAAAGCUUAAUUGAUCUUACAUAUGGGCAUGACUCAUUUUAGUGUGCAUUUGUGCCAUAGUACCUUAAACACAUAAUAAGAUCAGGUUGUAAGGUGCAAGCUUCAUAUUAGGAACAUUUCAGUUUACGCCUAUCCACGUCCAGUGUUUCUAAAUGUGCCACGUCCUCUAAGCUUUCUAUCUAAGUGCUGUUAGUAACGUGACACGAAUCGUUUGGUUUAUGCAGGAACGAAGCUGCUGAAUCAUGUUCUUGAUCUUUGCUCCAAGCAGAACAUUUCAGAGGUUUACUUGCACGUGCAGACAAACAACGAAGAAGCGAUUAGUUUUUAUAAGAAAUUUGAGUUUGAAAUUACAGAAACUAUCCAGAACUAUUACACAAACAUCACACCACCAGAUUGCUAUGUCGUCACAAGGCACAUAACUCCUAGCCCAACAAAGAAAUAACAUCUCAUGUCAGUUAUUUUGGGGCAAUUCAUCAAAGAUUGUUGCAUUAUUUAUUGAAUUUUGCCAUGAAUGUAUUACCCUGAAGUUUGCCGUUUUUAAUGCUAGAUUUUAAACAGCAAAGUUAGCCCAAAAAUAGAAGCAAUUGGGAAUCUCUUUGCUAAGGUAUUAAAGUUAUUCUAUCCCUAUCUUCCCCCUUCCACACCCUAUCUUACAAUUUUAGGCAAAAUAUUUUUGAAUUUGGUACAAGAGUCUUUUGGGGGAAAUUGCACCUUGUAUUUUAUUUUAUAACUAAAUAAAUAAAUAUAGCUUUUGCGUCAUGGUUUCAGAGUUCAACAAGGUGUUUGUUUGGGUAAAUAAUUUUGUUAAAGAAUUGAAUCAAAAGCGUUAGAAGAUAGUUUUUCAAACCUAAUCAUAGAUUAAAGAACUGAAUUGAUAUGUUUUUUCAAAUUUUUAAUAUCAGUUUUUUUCUAGUGUUCUCUAAACCAUUUGGCCAGAAAAUGUUUGAUUAUAGUUGAAGAAUCACAUACUUUUCAUCUAUUGUUAUCAUCAAUCAAUAGUAGAAUCAAAAUUGAAAUUGAAGUUUAACACACCAUCAAAGCAACAUGUAUAAAGAUUUAAAGUAAAUUUUAUAGUGAAGUUUUUUUAAAAUAAAAUAAAAUAAAUCAAAAUUGGUUAAAGAUGAGACUUGAAUCCAUGACACCCUACAUUUCACUAUAAAUGACUAUUUUGCUCUUUAAUUUAAAAAAAUAAAAUUAAUUUUUACAUUUUUUUUUGAAAUUUUAAUUUUUACCGAUUAUUUUAAAAAAUUCUCUAAAACUAUAAAAUUUGAGAAAACUUAUGGGUUUAUAUUGGGGUUUUUCAAAAAUUUUGUGGUAAAUGAUGAAGUACUGGAUAUUUUUUCUUAAAAAUUUGAUAGACUAUUUUUUUACAAUUAUUUAAAAAGCCUAAAAUUAUCACUAUCAAUUUAUUUUUUUAAAAUCUAAUAUAUAGGAUGUAACUAUUUUGUUUUUAAAAAUCUGGUAUAUCAUGUAUGAGUGCACAAAAUUUGAUAAUUCUUUUUGUAAUUACUAAAAUGAUACACAAUUAAUACUAUCAGAUUUUAUGAUAAAUUCAAUAUGUAAAUAGCAUGUCCCCUAAUUUUUCAAAGUAUAGAUGUGUGACGCACCUAUGUUGGUAAAGGUGACUAGAGACUAAUAAAGUUUGUGGUAUUUUAGGGAAAAUUAUGACCCUGAUGGUGUUUUUUUUAUGAAGUGAGAGUUAUGGAAUCUUGUUUUGUAGGUGAUAUGCUUUUAACAAAGUUAUAAAUUUUUUAUGAUAACAAUUAAUGUAUUAUGAUAAGUCAAGCAUGAGCAGUUAAGUAGAUAAAGAUGCAAAUUUAAUCGUUAGGGUUUCAUGGACUUGACUAUCAGAUUAUGACAAUAAAAUGGAAUAGAAUUUCAAGCCUCAUCUCAAGCUACUCAAGCAAGUGUCCACAAAAGAUAAAGCAUCUUACAAGUUUUGAAGUACUGGAGAACCUCCAAAUUUAAUAGUGAGUGAACCUAUUGUAAAAUAUAAGGGCUUUAUCGUAAAGGCGCAUGGCUAAAGCACACACUCACUAAAAUAUUUUUCAAAAUAUUUUUACCAAAGAAAAUACCUUUAAAAUAUCUUGAAAUUGUGCCCGGUGAAUUAGGAACAAUCAAAAUAGCUAUAUGCAAAAUUUUGACUUAUCUAAUCGAUUGAGACUUUUGUCCAAUCGAUUAGCUUAAUUCAAAAUUGAGCCACAAAUGAUUAGGCCAACGCCUUAAUUAUAUUCAACGACUAUAUAUAUUUUCCUUCCUUAUUUCUAAACUUACAAUCGAUAUUUCAAACUUCUAAUCGAUUGUGAUCAUGUGCCAAUCAAUUAGAUUAUCAUAAAAGUCAUUAAUUAAAAUUUCUUUUUGAGGCAACAUCUAGCCUAUAAAUAGAGUUCCCUUUUCUCAUUUCAUUUUAGACAGAAACAUGUUUUGACAAACCUCUCUCUCUCUCUCUCUCUCUCUCUCUCUCUCUCUCUCUCUAAACUAUAAUGUUUUAGCCUAACUGCUUUUGUGUGAAAAGUCAUUUUGUGAGUGAGGAUAUGAUUGUAUUUUUGGAAAUGGUGGAAUUGUAAAUUCACCAAAGGAAUCUUUUGUAUACACCUUGGUUGAAUAUUAUCCAUUUAGGGAUUUGUUUGUGUUAGAAACUAAAUGUCUUAAAAGCUUUGGUUUGAGAAUUGUGUGAUCAAACCCUAAUUUAGUUUGGAGAUCUGCCAAUGAUAAAAUCUCAUAGGUUCUUGGUCAACUUAGUAUUAAAACCAAGAUAGGUUGAAGUUUAACCAAGUAUUAAAAGCUUCAUAGUAGCGAGUGAAUCUAUUAUAAAAUAUAAUGGCCUUAUCGUAAAAGCGUAUAGUUAAAACAUGGACUAAAAUGUUUUUUAAAAUAUUUUUUCCAAAGAAAGUACCUUAAAAAAUAUCUUGAAGUUGUCUAAGAUGAAUUUUGAAUUGUUAAAAUAACUAUAGGCAAAAUUUGAUUUCUCUAAUCGAUUGAGACUUUUGUUUUAUCGAUUAGCUUAGUUUAAAAUUGAGCCACUAGCGAUUAGGUCAGUGCCUUAAUUAUGUGCAAGGACUAAAUAUCUUGUCUUUCCUCCCUUUAAACUUACAAUAGAUUACAUUUCAAACUUCUAAUCGAUUACGAACAUCUUUCAAUCGAUUAGAUUAUCAUAAAAGUCAUUUAAUUGAAAUUCCUUUUUGAGUCAACCUCUAGCCUAAAAAUAGAGGUCUAUUUUCUCAUUUCAUUUAAGGCAAAAAUGUCUUUUGACACCUCUCUCUCUCUCUCUCUCUCAACUUUUAUUUAACUUUCUCUCACUAAUGAUUUAACCUAAGUGCUUUUGUGAAAAAGUCUUUUUGUGAGUGAGGAUAUAAUUGUAUUUUUGGAAAAGGUUAAUUGUAUUUUCACCAAGGAAAUCUUUUGUAUACACCUUGGUUGAAUAUUAUCCAUUUAAAGAUUUGUUUGGGUUAAAAGCUAAAUUCCUUAAAAACUUUGGUUUUGAGAUUGUGUGAUUAAACCCUAAUUUAGGUUUGAGAUUCGCCAAGAUAAAAUCUCCAGUGUUCUUGGUUAACUCGGUAUUAAAACCAAGAUAGGUUGAAGCUUAACUCGGUACUAAAAGCUUCUUAAUAAUGCGUGACAUAAUUGAAAAUAUAAGGGCUUUAUCGUAAAAGUGUACGACUACACGCUCACUAAAAUGUUUUUCAAAAUAUUUUUACCAAAGAAAAUAUCUCAAAAAAUAUCUUGAAUUUGUGCCAGAUGAAUUAGAAACUGUCAAAAUAGUUAUAUGCAAAAUUUUGACUUAUCUAAUUGAUUGAGACUUUUGUCUAAUCGAUUAGCCCAGUUCAAAUUUGAGUCACAAGCGAUUAUGUCAGCGCCUUAGUUAUGUGCAACGGCUAGAUAUCUUUUUCUUCCUUUUUUCUAAAACUUACAAUAGAUCAUAUUUCAAAUUUCUAAUCGAUUGUGAACAUGUGCUAAUUGAUUACAUUGUCAUAAAAGUCAUUUAAUUAGAAUUCCUUUUUGAGUCAAAUUCUUAGCCUACUCUCUGCUCUCUCUUCUCUUCUCUCUCUCUCUCUCUCUCUCUCUCUUUUUAUAUAUAUAUAUAUUAUAUAUAUAUUAUAUAUAUAUAUUAUAUAUAUAUAUAUAUAUAUUAUUAUAUAUAAUAUUAUAUAUAUAUUUAUAUAUUAACUUUCUCUCACUAAUGUUUUUGCCUAGGGGUUUUUGUGAGAAAAGUCUUUUUUUGAGGGAGGAUAUAAUUUUAUUUUUAGAAAUGGGUAGAAUUAUAAAUUCAUCCAGGAAAUCUUUUGUAUACAUCUUUGUUGAAUAUUAUUAAUUUAAGGAUUUGUUUGGUUUAGAAGCUAAAUCCCCUAAAAGCUUUGUUUUGCAGAUUGUGUGAUCAAACCCUAAUUUAGGUCGGAGAUCCGUCAAGAUAAAAUCUCCAAGGUUCUUGGUCAGGUUAGAAUUAAAAUCAAGUUGAAGCUUACCCCGGUAUUAAAAGCUUCAUAGUAGUGAGUGAAUCAAUUGUAAAAUAGAAGGGUUUUAUCGUAAAAGCGCACAGCUAAAGCACAUGCUCAUUAAAAUGUUUUUCAAAAUGUUUUUACCAAAGAAAAUACUUUUAAAAAUAUCUUGAAGUUUUGGCAGAUGAAUUAGGAACUGUCAAAAUAGCUAUAGGAAAUUUUUUGACUUAUAUAAUUGAUUUAGACUUUUGUCUAAUUGAUUAACCCAAUUCAAAAUUAAGCCACAAGCGAUUAGGUCAGCGCCUUAAUUAUAACGACUAGAUAUAUUUUCCUUCUUUUUUAAAACGUACAAUAGAUUAUAUUUCAAACUUGAUUGUGAACAUGUGUCAAUGGAUUAGAUUGUCAUAAAAGUCAUAUAAUAGAAAUUCCUUUUUGAGCCAACCUCUAGCCUAUAAAUAAAUAUUCCUUUUCUCAUUCCAUUUCUGCCAGAAACAUAUUUUGACGUCUCUCUUUCUCUCUCUAGCAUAUAUAUAAAAUUUUAUUUAACUUUCUCUCACUAAUUUUUUAGCUUAAGUGCUUUUGUGAGAAAAAUCCUUUUGUGAGUGAGGAUAUAAUUGUAUUUAUAGAAAGGGUAGGAUUAUAAUUUCAUAAAGGGAAUAUUUAGUAUACACAUUGAUCGAAUAUUAUUCAUUUAAGGAUUUGUUUGGAUUAGAAGCUAAAUCCAUUAAAAGCUUUGGUUUGGGGAUUGUGUGAUCAAACCCUAACUUUAGGUUGGAGAUCCGCCAAUGAUAAAAUCUCACAGGCUCUUGGCUAGCUCGGUAUUAAAACCAAGAUAGGUUAAAGCUUAACCCAAUAUUAAAAGCUUCAUAGGUUUGAGAUUAGUCUGAUAUUAAAAUCUCAGAGGUUAUUGGUUAUCCUGUGUAAAACUAAGGUUUAAGGCUUGUGAGCUUAGCCUGUAUAAAAGCUUACAGGGUUUAAGGAACUUGAAGAUUAAUCGCUCCAGGAUCAUUGAUUGUGGAUGACCGUCUGGAUUCACAGUUUGGAAGAGAAGACUCAAACUACCAUAUUCCAAAGUCUUAUAUCAUUUGGUUGGAGGUCAACCAUCAUUUUCUUGUAUACGGUGGUUCGUGAGUCUUUCCUACUAAAAGCUCACAAUAUUUAUUAGAUACUCUCAAGAUCAUUUCUUCGGGAGAGGAGUAAGUUAUUUUGUUGUUUGAACGAACCUCUAUAUAUCGUGGUGUUCAUCUCUUUCCCCUAACUCUUUUAAAUUAUGCAAUUUAUUUUCCGCUGCUAAGUUUUUCAAAAGUGUUUUUAAAUUUUGGAUUUAUUUCCCAAAGAUUUUUAAAACCACAUUUUUCCAAACCACACAGUUCACCUCGUCUUGUGUGUGAAGUCUCAAGUUCAACAAGUGGCAUGAGAGCCUGACUCCUUUUUAAGGACUAAUCCUCUUAGGAGGAAGAUGACUUCCGACAAAAGAUCUUUUCUAAACACAUCAUCACUUUUCAAUGAUAGUAAAUUUAAUAUUUAACAAGCUAGGUUUAAAUUUUUUCUUCAAGUCAUAAAUCAUGAUUUGUGAAAAACUAUAGUCAAUGGUCUGAUUUACCCUACUCAUCAAGUAAAUGAUGAACCAGCGGAUAAACCAUAUUUCCUUUGGACCAAAUAGGAAAAGAGAAAGAGAUAGAUAAAUCUUAAAAUAAAGAACUUUAUAAUAAUGUAUCUAAAUGAUAGUAAACUUCACGAUGUUCAUCGUUGUAAAACCACUAGAAAAAUAUGGAAUACUUUUGAAAUGAUAUAUGGAAUUUCUCCAAGUAUCGAACAAGAGAAGAUGAACACGCGAGACAAAAAAGUUGAAGAUACCUAUCAUAAAUGUUUUUCAAAGUUUAGAAAUAUUAGAAAUCAUGUUGGAAACUGUAUUACUAACAAAUAUCUAAGAAUUAAGAAUUGGAAAUUUAAUCCAAUCCUCAAAUCAAAAGAUAAGAGCCUUUAUGAAUUUCAGGAAAAAUUAAGAAAGAAGAAAAUCAUAGAAAAGUUGAAAGAUCCAGUUCAAAUACUCAAAGAUGAAGGAAUUCAAUCAUACUCUUAUCAUACAACUCAUGUACAAUCCUUAAAAAGAACAUACUAAGUAGUUGAACGAUUCUCAGAAGAUUCAACAUCAAAUGAAUGACCCUCUUGUUCAAGGAAUAACAAAGAAGAUGAAGAAGUUUCUUUAAUACUCGAAUGAAGAAGAGGAGAGACAUAGACACUGAGGAGAAAUGUGAAAGAAUAUUUUUCCAACAAAGAAGAUGAAAUUUGCUUAAAGGCAUCCUACGAUGAAGAUACUAUUCCAGGUACAAACCAUAUUACGCUCAAUUAUUUAGAAUGACUAAUCAAUUAAUGCUAUACUAAGAUAGCGUACCAUAGGUAUUAAGGAAUACAUAAGAUAUCUUAAGGAAAUAAACAAUUCUUUUAACUAAGCUUAGAAGCUCAAAAGAAGAAUGUAAGUAAUGUGACUCCCUUAUAAAAAAAGUAACCACACUUCAAGAAACCUUACGAAAGUUUACCCAAGGGAAGGAAAAGCUUGGUCUAAUUUUAUCCAGUCAAAAGUCCUCCAUAAAUAGAAAAGGAAUAUGAUUUAAAAGGGAUAGAAAACCUCGGAAAGGUGUAAAUCAAAAGGAUAAUAAGUGUCCAAUUUAUAAAUGCAUAUACUGUAAGAGAAUAUGACAUAGAAAACCCUUUUGUUUUGAUAAAUUGAAAUGAUAUAAAGGUAACCUCCUCGUAUCUUCUAUGACUAAUGCACCUGGACCGAAGAAGAUAUGGCCCCAAAGGUGAAACCUUAGUGUUUUGCAGGUGUGCUUUGCAGCUUUGAGUUUCGAAGAUUAUUAAAUAAAGACGUGCAAAGCAUGAUAUACUUCUAAAGUAUAUAAUAUUUAUGAAGUCUUUGAUCCGAGGAUGAACGAUGAUGGAAAAUGUCAACAGUUGUGAUCAUAGCAAAUUAUUUAUGAAAUAUCUCAAGGUUUAUGAUCCUUAGUGAUCAAGUUGAAUGAAUAUGUGUGUGAUGAACUUAUUAACAUUGUGGUUUUACUGACUCUCACAUCCAACGAUGUGUAGAAGAGGAUACACCAUAGUAAAUUUGGUGUCUUCCCUCUUUGGGAAAUAUUUGUCAAGAGUUCUUGAUAAAGGAGGUAUACAUUAUUUUAAGGUUGAAAUAAUCAAGAAUCCGAUUAUCCUCUUAAAAUAAUAAUUUUAAAUUAUUCCUCAUCUAAAUUAAUUAUUAUCUAAACCAUAAGAUGAGUAUUUUAGUAUUUUCUAGCAAGAGGGGUGCAAAAAUGAUAAAAGGGAUGUCGAAAAGACAAAAAUCCAACAUAAGGCCUAACAUGCACCAAGGAGGCUGAACUACAUAAGCCCAAUCAGUUAGCACUUAAUGGAAACCGAUUGGAAAAUAUUGAAAUGAAUAUAUUUAGAUCGAAUCCAAGCUUAACUCGUGCCUCAAGAAAAUCAAAUCCCAACAUUAAUGAAGAUUUCAUGAAAUCCUGAUAAAUUUGGAAAUCCAAUCGAUUAGAUCCCUUAACCAAUCGAUUAGAAGGCUCAAAUAGGAAAGGUUUUGAUUUGAUUUUCGAUAAGCACAAUCUGCAUUGAAUUCUUACCAAGAAUACACGCUCAAAUCCUCAGAUGGCCAACUAUAAAUAAGUAUUCACUUUUCACUCUUUUUUAUUACAUAUUCUCUUUUCAAACCUUGUCUCUGAGAUUGUUCUUGCAACAUAAUCAUGAAUCCAAAAAGAUUGAGCUUCACCUCCAUCCCCCUUAUUGGUGAUUUCACCACCAAACAACAAUAAUCAAGGUUCUUUCAACACAUUGCCAACCAAAACCUUAUAAGAAUUCAUUCCCUAGAUCUAGAAGAUUUCAAAGAAUGAAAAUUCUUUAAGACCUUUGAUGAACUAAAUCUCUCCACCUUUCUUUGCAUGCCUUCAAAAAUAAUCUAUACAUCCCUUGUGAAGAUGUUCUUCUUAAACCUUCUUCUCACUGAUGGAAUACUUCAAAGAGAAGUAAAAAAACAUAGGAUAAGCCUAUCGGUAGAAGAAUUUAGAGAGAUGCUAAAUCUCCCUCCGGAAGAUAGAAUCAUUGAGCAUGGAUAUAAAGCCAAUCAAUACGACUACAUCAUCACUACAUCCUCUCUUAUGAAAUAAACAUUACCAUGUAUGCCUUACCCAUUCACGGGUGGAUACAUUCACCUUGAAAUGCGAAUGAUUCAUUAUGUAAUCAAUUACAUCUUUUUCCCAGAAAAUGCAACUUCAGUCUCUUAACACAAGAUGAUGUAGAAACUGUAUGGUUGAUAGUAAAUAAAGUUAAGGUGAACUGGGCACAACAAGUAAUUGACUAUAUGAUAUAAAGAAAGAAGAUACACACCCUCCAUAUGGAAAUCUAUCCGACAACAUUUUGGAAGAAACAUGAUACGAGUUUGGAGAUAAAGAGUUCAAGGAAGAAACAACCAUUAUAGAAAGCUAUGUCUUACCAUCAAUGAAGCACGAGCUGAUAAAUGGAAAGAUCACUGAAAAGGAACCAUCAAAUAAGAAGAAAAGGAAUGCCAAAAAUUAGGAAAUACCUAUAGAAAUAGAAAGCUUAGACAAUUGCCCAUAAAUACUCACAACUAAGGACUUUAUGAAAAUCAUAAGUGGAAAAAUAGAUGUAAUCAAUGAAAAAAUAUACUUCAUGGUACGCCACUUCAUUCAUGACCAAACCAAACUACCACAUGACCUAUUCUUCUAUGAUGAUCUUGAUGCAGAAUAAUCCCACUCAGAAUUUUGUUUAUUUUAUGUGUUUUCUUUAAAAGCUUUAAUUUCAGUAUUUUCCCUUCUUGUAAUUUGAAUUUCAGAAAUUUCCCUUAUGUAACUUAAAUUUCUUAGUAAUAAUAUGAUUCAUUUCCUUUACUUUUCUAAAUGUCUAUAUAUCUCUUGUCUUCAGAUUUAUUUUCGCAAUGCAUCUUUACCCGUCUUUUGAUUUUGACAAAGGAGGAUAAGUAUACUCUCAGAGGGAGUAGGGUGUACUCUCUAUUUACCUCAGGGGGAGUUUAAUCACUCCAAAUAUAUAUAUGUUGUCAUCAACAAAAAGGGGGGGCAAUGUGAAACCUUGUUUUGCAGGUGUUAUGCUUUUAACAAGGACAUAAACUUUUGACGAUGACAACUAAUUUAUUAUGAUAAGUCAAUCAUGAACAGUUAAGCGGAUAAAGAUGCAAACCUAAUAGUUAGGAUUUGAUGGAAUUGGAUAUCAGAUGAUGGCAGUCAAAUGGGAUGGAAUCUAAAGCUUCAUCUCAAGCUACUCAAGUAAGUUUCCAUAAAAGAGAAAGCAUCUGGAAAAUGCUUUAUCGUAAAACACAUGGAUAAAACACACAAAGGAUUUAUCGUAAAAACACAUGACUAAAACACACAGUCACUAAAAUGUUUUUACCAAAGAAAAUACCUUCAAAAAUAUCUUAAAGUUGUGCCAGAUGAAUUAGGAACUGUCAAAAUAGCUAAAGGCGAAAUUUUGACUUAUCUAAUCGAUUGAGACUUUUGUCUAAUCGAUUAACUAAAUUCAAAAUUGAGUCACAAGCGAUUAGGAGAACACUUUAAUUAUGUGCAACAACUAUAUAUCUUUUGCUUCCUUUUUAUUUUAAACUUACAAUUGAUUAUAUUUCAAAUUUCUAAUCGAUUGUGAACAUGUGUCAGUCGAUUAGUUUGUCAUAAAAGUCAUUUAACUGAAAUUCCUUUUUGAUCCAACCUCUAGCCUAUAAAUAAAGGUGCUUUUUAUCAUUUCACUUCAUCCAUAAACGUGUUUUGACACACCUCUCUUACUCUCUCUCUCUAAAGUUUUAUUUAAGUUUCUCUCACUAAUGUUUUAUUCUUAACGCCUUUUGAGAAAAGUCCUUUUGUGAGUGAGGAUAUAAUUGUAAUGCUGGAAAGAGUAGAAUUGUAAAUUCACCAAGUGAAUAUUUUGUAUACACCUUUAUUGAAUAUUAUCCAUUUAGGGAUUUGUUUGGUUAGAAGUUAAUCCAUUUAAAUGGUUUGGUUUAGGGAUUAUGUAAUCAAACCCUAAUUUAGGUUGAAGAUCAGCCCAUGAUAAAAUAUCCAAGGUUCUUGGUCAUCCCAGUAUUAAAACUAAUAUAGGUUAAAGCUCAUCUCGAUAUUUAAAGCUUCACAUGUUCGAGAUCAUCCCGGUGUUAAAAUCUCACAGGUUAUUGUUUAUCCCGUGUAAAACCAACGUUUAAGGUUCGCGAGCUCAACCUGUGUAAAAGCUUUCAAGGUUUAAGGAACUCGAUGACUAACCUCUCCAAGAUCCUUGUUUGUGGAGAAAUGACUAAUCACUUGGAUUCACUAUUUGGAAGAGAAUAGUCAAACUGCCUUAUUCUGAAGUAUUCUAUUAUUUGGUUAGAGGUAAACCAUUAUUUUCUUGUAUAAGGGGGUUUGUGAGUCCUUCUUACUAAAAAUUCUCAACGUUUAUUGGAUACUCCCAAGAUCAAUUCUCGGGGAGGGGAGUAGGUUGUUUUGUUGUUUGACCGAACCUCUAUAUAUCGUGGUGUUUGUAACACCCCGAUAAAAUAUGAUAAUUAUUUAAUUUAAGUUAAUAGUAUAUUUAUUAAUUUAAUUAAAUAAUUAGAUUAUUAUUGGAAUAUUAUUUGGAAUAAUAAGUUGGAAUAUAUAUAUAAGAGUUCCAUUUGGUAAAAAGGGUUUUUCACGUGAAAACCAGAGAAGCGACAGAAAGUGGAAAAGGGCAAAGAGGAAGAGCAAGAGAGCAAGGGUUGAAGAAGGGAAAAGCUAUACACCUAAAGGAACGCCGAUAACUCAGGUAAGGGGGUUUUACGUCGUGUUAAUGGGAUUAUGGGUAACAUGUAAGGGUAGAAAAGCCAUUGAUUUGACCCUAAUUUGGAUGAUGAAUGUUGCAAAUUGUGAUGACCAAAUAACGUUAAAAACUGUGAUUGAAUCUAUGUUUGGAUGAGUUUGAUUUCUGGACGUGUAGCUUUUACGGAAUCGAAAUCGGAGGUCCGAACUCCCGACGGCGGAAAAUGCGGGUAAUUCUGCAUUCUGUUGUGUAGCGCAGGCACAGCUUGGUCUUGCGUAACCGUUAACCCAGGGUGUUAACCGGUUAACACUGUUAUGAUUAAAAAAAAAUUAAUUCUUUCUGCGUUAAACCGGUUAACCCAGGGUGUUAACCGUUAACACUGUAAUAAGUGCCAGGAAGCGUGUUCUGUGUUGCGUUAACCCGUAACCAGGGCGUAACCGGUUAAAACUGUUGAAGUGGAAAUUUGAUAUUUAAAUAUGUGGACAUAUUAUGAUUGACCUAUAUUGGUGUAAUAAAGUAGGGAUCAUUCCCGUUUGACAUAUACGGAUUAGAGAGUGAGCUAUAGUGUGAUUUAUAUUUAGCAUGAUAUGAAUAAUUCUGUGAUAAAUAUGCUGAUAAGUUAUGAUGGUAUGCAUAAUGCUGUGAAUAUACUGUUAUGUAUCAAUUGUGAAUGGACUGUUUAUGGCUUAGAGGUUGAGCAUAUGUCCAUGUGGAUUGUUGGAUGUUGCAAAGCUAGGUAUUUAGCGUCAUAGUAUGGCCUUUAUGGUGGUAGCUAAUUCCCAUGGUGAGGAAUUAGUGAGUGAGUUAUGUGGAUUGUUGUUUAUGUGCAUGCUAGUGAUUUAGCGUGCAUAGCAUAGCCCUUGGGUGGUAGCUAAUUCCCAUGGUGAGGAUUAGUGAUGUAUCACUAGGUCUCAAAAUGAGUGGGACUAGUGAGCUUGGUAGCCGUAUCUGAUUUGAUCGGUGAGGUUGAACUAGUGUUCACAAUAGUCGUACGCGCAUGCAUGGAGUCUCAUUGCAUAAAAUAUGUAUGGUGAUAAUAUGAAUGGAUGUAUUCCAAUAUAUACGUGUUUUUGUGUUGGUUGAGUAUGAUAAGAUUUUGAGUUGAUGUUGCCGUUGCUGAAGUGUGAUCUGAUUUGGGUGAUGAAAUUGUUAAAUUACUUAGCAUUACAUGAUAUUAUAAUGCUUAUUAUAUCGAUGAGGAACUACCCUUACAACUAUGUUUCAGGUAACGAGCAGUGAUUGAGUAGAAGCUAGUGCUUGGAGUCUAGUGUAGUUCCUUAGUGGUCAUGCUCUGGUAGAUGUAACAUCGAGACGAUGUUUUACUUGUUUCAAUUUGGUUGUUGAACAACUUACAUGUAAUGUUUACAUGGUGGCAUGAUUGAUUUGAUUCUAUCCGCUGCGAAUUGUGCAAUGUUAUUAUUGAUUAAUAAAGAGCAUGACAAGUUAUAAGGUGAAUGGUGUGAAGUGUCAAGUGUGACACCCUAAAUUGCAUACUACUCUGAUUUAAUUUUGUUGAAUUAAUUAAUUAUUGGGUAUUUAGAAGGGUGUUUACAUUAGUGGUUAUCAGAGCAUAGUCGGUCGAGUCGAGUCGUAGUUAUUGUUUCCCUGUACGUGAUAGGUGUUGUGUAACCCUACUAGUACUUAUGUUUUAGCUUGUUGGGUUUUCAGAAUAAGAUGGUUUGAAAGUAGAGACGAUGCUGCGAUUGCUGAGCGCUUUGGGUAUGCUACGGAAUACUUGAGGAAAUCCGAAGUUGUGGGCGGAGCUGCUCGUCAACUGAGUGAGUUCCAGAAGAACAAUCCCCAUGUCAAGGGAGCAACGAUCCAGAUGGCUCAGAAGUGUUGAAGGAGAUCGAGAGGAUCUUUCGAGGACUGAUGGUGCGAAAUAACCAAAGAAGUCAGUUCGUACGCAUAUGCUGUCAAGAGAACAGAUAUGAUGGGUCUGUCCGCACUGAUUGAAGCUGCUGGGAGCUGAGAUCACUGGGCGGUGUUCAGAGAGAGAUUUUUGAGAAGUACUUUCCAGAGGAUCAGAGGAAAGAAAAGAUAGAGUUCUUAGAAUGAAGCAGGCAACCGGUCUGUUACUGGUACACUGCCAAUUCACAGAGCUGUCGAAGUAUACACCCUAUGAAGCAGUAGCAGAUGAGGCAGAUUUUACUGUACGGACUUUGGAGGCUAAAGAAAAACUGCGAUUUGCGAUCAUAGCUGUGGGAUUUUCCUGAUGUUCCCUGAAGAGUGAAUGAAUUACCGCCAGAGCGUGAAGUAUUCUCGAUUGAUUUGCCCUGGUACUAGCCGAUAUCGAUGGCGCCGUACCGUAUGUCUCUGUUGAGUUAACUGAAUUGAAGAGUUCAGUUGGAAGAUUUGUGGAUAAGAAAUAUCGUCCGGGUUCACCGUGGGUGCACCAGUGAUUGAAGAAAAGAAGGUACUAUGAGGUGUUGUGGACUACAGGCAACAAAAAGUGACGACAAGAAUCCGUAUCCUUUGCCAGAUUGAUGAUAUAGGACAAUGGUUGGCGAGUGUGUUCAGCAAAUAGAAUGAGACGGGUAAAUCAGAUACUGUGAAAACUGAGGAUAUUCAGAAGACUGCUCCAGAACAAGGAUGGACAUAUAUAGUAUUCAUAUCCUUUGGUGUGACUAAUGCGCCUGGGUAUUUAUGGAGAUAUAAAUAGGAUUUUCCAUCCGUACCUAGACAAUGUUGGGUGUAUUGACGAUAUUUUGGUGUAUUCAAAAUCGAGAAGAGCAUCACACAUAGAGUGGUUUAGAGUUCUCAGCAAAAAGAAGUUAUUAAACUGUCCAAGUGUGAAUUUUGGUUAGAAGAGGUAUUUCUGGUCAUGUCAAGAUGGUUUGCUGGGACCUCUAAGAUAGAAGCGUAUCUAAGUGGAAGCUCCGAAGUCAGUUCUGAGAUAAGGAGUUCUCUGGACUUGCAGGUUAUAUAUAGGAAAUUCAUUGAGGGAUUUUCUAAGUUGGCGUUACGUGACGAUGUUGACUAGAAAGGGGCAAGCGUUGUUUGGGAUUCACAUGUGAAAAAGGUUCCAAGGUUAAAGAGAAGGUUAACUACUGCUCCUUUCUAUACCAAGUUCAUCGGAACCAUUUGGUUUACUGUAGCUUCAUUGUUGGUUGGGUGGUUUUGAUGCAGAAUACAGGAAGCUUAGCUUCAGACAACGAAGUUCAGUGAGAGGAACUAUCCGACACACAUUUAGAGUUGGCAGCUGUGAAUUUUUCGAAGUUAUGGAGGCAUUACUUACGGGUCAAGAUUUGAGGUUUUCAGUGACCAUAAAAGUUUAAAGUAUUGUUUGAUCAGAAAGAGCUGAAUAUGAGACAGAGGAGAUGGUUAGAGUUUCUGAGGAUUAUGACUUUGGUUUGAAAACCAUCCGGGUAAAGCAAACGUAGUGGCUGAUGCAUUGAAUCGGAAAUCAUUGCAUAUGUCUAUGUUAAUGGUUAAGGAAUUGGAUUUAAUGAGCAGUUAGAGACUGAGUUUGGUGUGUGAGAGAACUCACAAUAGUGUUAAAUUGGAAUGUGAAGUACGAGUGGUAUUCUGGAUGAGAUUAGAGAGGGUCAGAAAUCCGAUGUGCUUUGGUUGAUAAAUUGACUCUAGUAAAUCAAGAUCAAGGGAAUUCAGAGUUGAUGAGAAUGGUGUUUUGAAUUUGGUAAUCGGUGUGUAUUCCGGAUGUUACCGAACUUAAGAAGAGUAUUCUUGAGGAAGGACAUCGUAGUGGCCUGAGUAUUCAUCCUGGGGCACGAAGAUGUAUCAUGAUUUGAAAAAGUUAUUUUGGUGGCCGGAAUGAAAAGAGAAAUUGCGAGUUUUGUUUAUUUGUUUGACUUGUCAGAAGUCAAAGAUUGAGCAUCAGAAGUCGUCUGGGCUAAUGCAACCGUGGCUAUUCCAGAGUGGAAGUGGGAUAGUAUCAGUAUGGAUUUUUUUCUGGUUUACCGAGGACAAUUAUGAAUUUUGAAGCUAUUUGGGAUUGUUGACAGAUUGACAAAUCGGCUCAUAUUCCGAGUCAGAAUGGAUUAUCCUAGGAAUUAGCUGAGUGUGUAUAUUGAGAAAAUUGUAAGUUUGCAUGGUAUUCCCGUCGAGUAUUGUUUCGACAAGAUCCUAGAUUUACAUCAAAGUUCUGGGAAGGUUUGCAGAGGGCUUUGGGAACUAAGCUGAGAUUGAGUUCUGCAUAUCAUCCGCAGCUGAUGGUCAGACUGAGAGGACGAUUCAGUCACUGGAGGAUCUUUUGAGGGCUUGUGUUUUGGAAAGGAGGUGCUGGGAUUGUUAUUUACCUUUGAUUGAGUUUACCUACAACAAUAGUUUCAUUCGAGCAUUGGUAUGGCACCGUUUGAAGCUGUAGGUAGGAGAUGUCGGACACCUUUAUGUUGGUAUGAGUCCGGUGAGAGUGCUGUGGUUGGACCGGAGAUUGUUCAACAAACUACGGAAAAGAUUACGAUGAUUCAGAGGAAGAUGAGGAUUGCUCAGAGUCGUCAGAAGAUUAUCACGACAAAGAGGAAAGUCACUUGAGUUUCAAGAGGAGAUCAUGUGUUUCUUCGUGUUACUCCGAUAACUGGGGUUUCGAGCUUUGAAGUCGAAGAAGUUGACACCUCGAUUUAUUGGUCCUUAUCAGAUUUUGGAGAGGAUAGGGGAGUACCCUAUCGUAUCGCUUUACCGCCGUCACUUGCGAAUUUGCAUGAGGUUUUCCAGUGUCUCAGUUGAGGAGGUACAUUCUGAUCGUCGCAUGUGGUCCAGUAAGAUGAUGUACAGGAGAGAAACCUGACUGUUGAACAUCACCUAUGAGGAUCGAGGAUCGAGAGUUGAAGCAGUGCGCGGGUAAAGAGAUUUCUUUGGUAAAGGUAGCUGGGGAGGACCAGCAGGUGGCAAUGUGACUUGGAACUGAGAGUCAGAUGAAGGAGUCUUAUCUAGAGUUAUUCGCUUGAGGUAUGUUUUCGAGGACGAAAACUCUUUUAGGGAGAGUUGUAACACCCGAUAAAAUAUGAUAAAUUUAAUUAAAGUUAAUAGUAUAUUUAUUAAUUUAAUUAAAUAAUUAGAUUAUUAUGGAAUAUAUUUGGAAUAAUAAGUUGGAAUAUAUAUAUAAGAGUUCCAUUUGGUAAAAAGGGUUUUUCACGUGAAAACCAGAGAAGCGACAGAAAUGGAAAAGGCAAAGAGGAAGAGCAAGAGAGCAAGGGUUGAAGAAGGGAAAAGCUUGAAGCUAAAGGAUUGCCGGAUUAACUCAGGUAAGGGGGUUUAUCGUCGUUUAAUGGUAUUAUGGGUUAACAUGUAAUGGGUAGUAAUAAGCCAUUGAUUUGACCCUAAUUUGGAUGAUGAAUGUUGCAAAUUGUGAUGACCAAAUUACGUAAAAACUGUGAUUGAAUCUAUUUUGGAUGAGUUGUGAUUUUCUGGACGUGUAGCUUUUACGGAAUCGAAAUCGGAGGUCCGGAAGUCCUCCGACGGCGGAAAAUGCGGGUAAUUCGCAUUCUGUUUGUGUUAGCGCAGAAAAACUUUCUGUCUUGCGUUAACCGGUUAACCCAGGGUGUUAACCGUGUAACACUGUUAUGAUUUAAAAAAUUAAUUUCUGUUCUGCGUUACACCGGUUAACCAGGGUGUUAACCGAAACACUGUUAAAAUGUGCCAGGAAGCGUGUUCUGUGUUGCGUUAACCGGUUAACCCAGGGCGUUAACCGGUUAACACUGUUGGAAAAGUGGAAAUUUGAUAUUUAAAUUUGUGGACAUAUUUGAUGAUUGCCUAUAUUGGUGUAUGAUAUAGUAGGGAUCAUUUCCCGUUGUUUGAGCAGUAUAGGUAUUAGUAGAGUGUGCUAAUACUGUGAUUAUUAUUUAGCAUGAUAUGAAUAUGAUCUGUGAUAAAUAUGCUGAUAAGUAUGAUGGUAUGCAUAAUGCUGUGAAUAUAUUUGUUAUGUAUGCAAUUGUGAAUGGACUGUUUAUGGCUUAGAGUGUGAGCAUAUGUCCAUGUGGAUUGUUGUUGAUGUUGCAAGCUGGUGAUUUAGCGUGUAUAGUAUGGCCUUUAUGGUGGUAGCUAAUUCCCAUGGUGAGGAAUUAGAGUGAGUUAUUGUGGAUUGUUGUUUAUGUUUGCAUGCUAGGUGAUUUAGCGUGCAUAGCAUAGCCCUUGGGGUGGUAGCUAAUUCCCAUGGUGAGGAAUUAGUGAUGUGAGUCACUAGGUCUCAAAUGAGUGGGAUAGUGAGCUUGGUAGCCGUAUCUGGAUUGAUCGGUGAGGUUGAACUAUGUGUUCACGAAUAGUCGGUACCCGCAUGCAUGGAGUCUCAUUGCAUAAAAUAUGUAUGGUGUAAAUAUGAAUGGAUGUAUUCCAAUAUUAUACGUGUGUUUGUGUUGGGUUGAGUAUGAAUUAUGAUUUUGAGUUGAUGUUGCCGUUGCUGAAUGUGUGAUCUGAUUUGGGUGAGAAAUGUGUUAAAUUACUUAGCUUACAUGAUAUUUUAUAAUGCUUAUUAUAUCGAUUGAGGAACUCACCCUUACAACUAUGUUUCAGGUAACGAGCAGUGAUUGAGUAGAAGCUAGUGCUUGGAGUCUAGUGUAGUUCCUUAGUGGGUCAUGCUCUGGUAGAUGUAACAUCGGGACGGGAUGUUUUACUUUGUUCAAUUUUGGUUGUUGAACAACUUUACAUGUAAUGUGUUACAUGGUUUGCAUGAUUGAUUUGAUUUCUAUCCGCUGCGAAUUGUGCAAUGUUUUAUUUUGAUUAAUAAAUGAGCAUGACAAGUUAUUAAGGUGAAUGGUGUGAAGUGUCAAGUGUGACACCCUUAAAUUGCAUAUCUACUCUGAUUUAUAUUUUGUUGAAUUAAUUAAUUAUUGGGGUAUUUUAGAAGGGUGUUACAGUGUUCAUCUAUUUCCUUUAACUCUUUUAAAUUCCGUAGUUUAUUUUCCACUUUUUAUUUUCCGCUGCAAAUUCUUUCAAAAAUAUUUUUAAACUCUGAACUUAUUUCCCAAAUAUUUUCAAAACUCCGUUUUUCCAAACCACACAAUUCACCUCCUCUUCUGUGUGAAGUCUGAAGUCAAACAAGAGUAAGCUCAUGAGAGUGAUAAGCUCUGUAACUAGGGGUACUUCAUGGUGAAUUCAAAGUAUCUUCUCAACCAUAAGGAUGAUUUCUUGCACAUGACGCUAAGUAAAAUUCUAAAAAAACAUAAGAUAAGAUUUACUUUUGGGUGGUUGUUCAUUACACCCUUAACGGUUCUUCCAAAUCCUAUGAAUUGUUUUUUGAAAUUGUCCUUCUUACCUCAUAUGAAUUAUAUUAUGUAGACACAUCCUAAAUACAAUACACCAUGUAGUUUAUUUGGAAUGAUUUUGACUCUAAUAAUUUUAUAUGUCUGGAUUGUAACAUUUAGACAAAAUGUAAUUCAUAUAGAUUGUACAGUAUGAGCCUUACAUUUGUAAUGGUAUUCCAUUAACCCUUUUACUCACGAUCAUAUAACAUAUUCCCCUUAAUCGCUCUAAAAUAUUAAUUCAUUGCUAUUCAAUAAUUUCAUUUGGUACCACAAUUCAAUAAUUUCAUUUGGUACCACAAUUCAAUUGUAUUUCAAAAUCAAAAACAUCAUAAUCGUAUUAAAUUACAUGUAUUCUACAUCUGUAUCUCUUAUCAUUUAAUCAUAAUCAUUUUUUUUUUAUCAUUGAGAGAAUUGUAGAGAUAACAUCAUAUGGAGUCUUCUGGAUUGUAACUUUCUGACGUAUUGAAUGGUUGCUUGAAUUCAGUUAAUUUUGUUGGUUGUAGGCAUGUCACACCUUAAUGUUAUAGACCAAACUAAUACAUAAGAGGAUGGUUUGCUGAAAGAUCCCUAACUUGAUGUUGCACACGUUAAUGUUAUGAAUGAAUUUAGCACUAAACAAGAGUUUACGUUACAUGAUCAUAUGCUUAAAUGAGUAUAUGCAAAAACUAUCCAAUUAAGUUUUGGAAUAGUAAUCAGAAGGUCGAAUUUCGGUUCUAAUAUAAGGCGUGCAUUUGCUAGGAUGAAAUGCGAAAGAAGUGGUCAAUAUAAAUAACAUAUGUGAAAGUUGAAAUGUCAUGACACUAGAACAAAGAAAUACAAAUGUCCUUUUAAGUUGCGCAUGUAUCAUAAAGCGAAUACUAUUUGAACAUUUAGUAUGAUUUGCAGUGUUCAUAGUCAUGGAUUGAAUCGCAAGUUAGUUGAUCAUCAGAUUGUCAGUCAUUUAGUUUAUAAAGUGAAGAAAAUUGUUGGGAGGACAAUGAACAUGGUUGUUCCCAAAACAUAGUCACAAAUUUGAAAUGAAAAAAGAUUCAAAGUUAUCUCAAAUAUUAAGGAAGUUUAUAAUGUCCGUCAUAGAAAACAACAAGGUGAUUAUAGGUCUAAGAACUAAAAUGCAAUAAUUUCCACACUCUUAGUCUAAAUCAAUAAUUAAAUAUGAUAUUAUAAAAAAAAACAAAUAUUCAAACAACAAUUUCAAAAUAGUCUAAGUUGAUUUAUUAUAUCUAACCUACGAUUCAAAUUGUUUUCUUCAACUAACAAAAUAAAUUUACUAGUAAAAUAAUUUUAAAAAAAAAUCAAUUUAUUAAUAAUAAAUGACUCUCCAUAUAUAUAAAAUCAAAAUUAUUUCACAAUUAAUAAACAGAACUAUUAUUAUUUUUUAAAUGUAAAUCCUAAUAAUUUUAAGAACUACAUUUAUUCUUUAUUAUCCAAUAAUAAUUAUGCUUCAAAUAUUACACGUGGAUGUAAAAUAGAGAGUUACAAAAAUAUGAAUGCCACACAUUAUCCACAACACAAGAGAUCUAUUGUACAAUAGGUGUGUAAGAUUACACUACAAUUUUGCAUACAACAAAAUAAAAUCUCUUAUCCUAUUCAUCACACUACGUGUAUAACCACGGUUGGAUCAUAAGAUCACACUCUCAUCCUUACUAUAUCACACCAUUCAAUAUUCACCACAAGAAUCUCCACGUUGCAUGCAUCUAGUGGCUUAAACUUGUUCAUAUCUUCUUUCCUUUGGCUUAUUAGUUACUGCAUUAUCCAUCAUUCAUUCUUAACCAUCUACUACAUUCUUGAAGAAGAAAAAAAACACUCUAUUGGUGUAACAAAGAGGGAAAGAAAAUGGCUACACAAGCUCUAGUGUCGUCAUCAUCUCUUACUUUUGCAGCUGAGGCUGUGAGACAGAGCUUUAGAGCAAGAUCACUUCCUUCAUCAGUUGGAUGUUCUAGAAAAGGUUCCUUUCUUGUCAGGGCAGCUGCUACUCCUCCUGUCAAGGUCUCUCUUUCUCUCUCUCUCUCUCACUCAAUUCAAGUAUAGUUCGUUGUGCUUUGAUUCAAACUAACUUUCUUUAUCUUUUUGGUUUUCAGCAAGGUGGAGUUGAUAGACCCUUGUGGUUUGCUUCAAAGCAAAGUCUUUCUUACUUGGAUGGAAGGUAAAUUAUAUAGUUUUAGAGAACUCAUAGGAACUGUUUAUGACAUCUUGUUAAGAGCUACACAUUAGAUAAUAUAAGCUAGAUAAUAUAUGACGAUUAUAUGUUUAUAAGUGAGAGCAAUUUUCGAUUACAAUAUUAAGAUGGUAUAUGAGUCUGGUUCAAGAUCCGGUGGACCAUCUAUUAUUAGGGUUUCUUCGUGUCCACGCCCCAUAUGUUCCCUCUGGUGGGUGGAGUGUGUUAAGAGUUUCCCGUCAAAAAAUAUAUGGAUUGAUCCUAUAUUUAUAUAAGUGAGAUGAGUUAGGUCAAAUUCUAAUUCUAAUAUCCGUUAUUUUUCAAUUUAUUUUAUCAAAGUUUUUUAAGAUAGUUUAUAAAAACAAUAUAAACUCUUAAUUAAGAUGUUUAUCCACACAUAACAAAUGUGUAUGAUAUUAAAAGUGGUUAUAUAAUAGUAAAAGGUGUCUAAUGUUCUUCUGACGGUUAUGAUUAACUGAGAGUAUUAUCACACUUGCAGCCUACCCGGUGACUACGGAUUUGACCCUCUAGGACUAUCGGAUCCCGAAGGAACAGGAGGUUUCAUUGAGCCAAGAUGGCUAGCAUAUGGCGAGGUAAUCAACGGUCGCUUCGCAAUGUUGGGAGCAGUCGGGGCUAUAGCACCCGAAUAUCUCGGGAAAGUCGGUUUGAUCCCACAGGAAACAGCCCUCGCUUGGUUCCAAACGGGCGUGAUCCCACCUGCAGGAACAUACAACUACUGGGCAGACAAUUACACACUCUUCGUCUUGGAAAUGGCACUGAUGGGAUUCGCGGAACACAGAAGAUUCCAAGAUUGGGCCAAACCUGGUUCCAUGGGAAAACAAUACUUCCUAGGACUUGAAAAAGGUUUCGGAGGUUCUGGCAACCCUGCAUACCCUGGCGGACCUUUCUUUAACCCUCUCGGUUUCGGUAAAGAUGAGAAAUCUUUGAAGGAGUUGAAGCUUAAGGAAGUGAAAAAUGGAAGGUUAGCUAUGUUGGCAAUAUUGGGAUACUUCAUUCAAGGUCUUGUUACAGGAGUUGGACCAUACCAAAACUUGUUAGAUCAUGUGGCUGAUCCUGUCAACAACAAUGUCUUGACAAGUCUCAAGUUUCAUUGAAUGAAUGUAUUAUAUU